rnacentral:lncRNA from 1 species
UCCUAAAACCUAUCAAGAGGCGUUAGGCUUUCUAGACUCAAGUUUUUGGAAGGAAGCAAUUAAGAGUGGAUUAGAUUCACUUACCAUGAAUCAAACUUGGGAGUUGGUAGAUCUUCCUAAAGAUAGUAAAUCUAUAAGAUGCAAAUGGAUCUUUACAAAAAAAACAAUACAUGACAGAUUGAUUUGAAAGGUACAAAGCUAGGUUAGUAGUAGUAGGAUACAUUAAAAAAAUAAGUUAUUGAUUACUUUUGUAGGUCUAGAAAAUAAAGUGUGCAAGCUUAAAAAAUCUUUUUAUGAUAUAAAAAAAACUCCCAAAUAAUGAAUGAAAAGUUUAAUAAAACUCUAGUAAACAAUGUGAAACGAAUUGAAGAGUGAAUCAAGAAAUCAUAAUUGAAGUAAAUGAAAAAGUUGAAGAGAUGAAAUGCUUGAAAGUUGAAGAGUUCCUUGAACAUCCCAAAAGUCAUAAAAUUAAAAGGAAUUAUGCAUUUGUGUGUUUUCAUUUAUUACGGUAGUUGAAAAGGUAUAAAAUUAAAUGUUGUGACCUUUCAUUUAAUAUUUUAAUUAGCAUAAAUAGGUGAUAGAACUAAGUCAUGCACAGCGGAAAAAGAAUCGAAUUUCUACCCUAAUUGCCACAAUUAACAUAUAACCAUAAACUAAUCAAAUUAGGGUUUUAAGAAAUAUUACCUUUGAAGCUUUCAAAAGGUUCGAUAUCUUCUUACCAAUGCUAGCCGAGACCACCACUAGUACUCAACUGCUAUCCUCUAGACAAAGAACCGGGUUGUGGGACCCAAUUUUGGUGUAGAAAGUAAUGGAGAUAAAAAUGGGAUUGGAAGGUUUCUUUUUUCUUUUGUUGAGAUUAUGAAAAUGAUCAAAGAGGCAAAAGUCUUUUCAACAUUUGAAAACACCUCUAUUUAUAACCUAAUUACAUGCAAAAAUGCAUGAAAUUCAUUUGCCAAAUCUCAACACCUAAUGUUCCACUAACAAUUAGUGGAACUUAGUGGGCUAGGUGUCUAUAUCUCAUAUAGCCACAUAUCCCACUAAGAGUUAGUGGGAUUAUCCAACAAAAUGUUGGAUUUUCCCACUAACUUAGUCCAAGGGUAAAAUGGUCAUUAGAUAUUUCUAGUAGUCAAAAGUCAAACUUUGACUUUUCUAAGUCAAAAGUCAAUAUUUUGACUUUUUACCAUUUUGUCCGUCUUGACUAAUUCCAACCUCCCGAGCAUGAAUCCGCAUUCAUUUUUCCAAAAUUCAAAUCACAUUUGAAUAUAAGGCCGGUCAAAGUUUGACUUUUCAAAGUCAAAAGUCAACAUUUUGACUUUUUACUAUUUUUGACCAAUUCCGAGCUUCUUAGUAUGAAUCCGCAUUCAUACUUAUAGUAUGUAAAACAUAAAGCUCUAUUUCUAAUUAGAAGACCGACGACUAUAUCACUGUAUAUGUCGGUUUCCCUUUCUUCUCCCAAUUCGAACAAUUCGACUUAUUUCAUAAAUUCGACUUAUUUCAUACACUGUUCUAAAGUUUAAUCCAUAUGAGCUAGCAGAGGAACCUAAUGGACCUAUAGAUCAUGGGCUCCAACGAUUCAAGGUUAACUAGCUAAACUCUUUUAAACCGAGUUAAUCAACAUUCGUUAACUAACGGGUCAUUCCACUAAAGUCCCGUAGUUGCACUCCCCUCACUAUAGAUAUAUUUGUGUCCAUUUGAUAAAACCAUAAUCAGUAAGUUAAUCCUUCACAGGUUGCUCGUAACCUUGGCUGGGUCAAAAUACCGUUUUACCCCCAAGAUUACAUCUUGCUCCUUAAGUCCCACUAAUCCACUAUUGAACAAUUGGUUUAAGGUUCAACCUAUAAACUUAAUCCCUCUCGGGCCAAUGAGAGGGUGGGGCCCCUUGUUCAAGACUUGGAUUCAGUGCUUAAGAGAAGCAACCUAUCUACUAACCCUAAAGCGGGUAGGAGUGAAUUCCAUCUUGUACCCUAUGUUCCCAGCUAUCCACCCGAUCUUACCCCUGAAAUGGGAGGCUUAUUGGGCCAACGCUGAUGAGCUGCCCUCACCUAUGUAGAUCUAAGGAUAAUCUCGUGUGAACAGGAGUUCAUAGUUAACUCAGGAUUAAGACUAAGUUACCUAGGUCAUCAAUAAUUGAGAUAGUCAGUUUUAAACAGUAAACGGUGUUAUAACGUAAAAAAGACUAAUUCAUGGUUCAGUCUUAUGUAAACAUUUUACAUAGGAUGCCCCCACUUUCAUGUCUCUACAUGAACGAUUAGGAUCACCUCGUUUGUACAACAAAGUGGGCCGCAUCCAUAGUUUCUCUAAAUAAGGCGCCCAACCUUUAUUUCAUAUACUAUAGACUAUUUAGGCUAUAUACUCGAACUUGAUCCACGUUUAUGUUUACACAUAAAGUUCAAGUUUAUUCAAAAAUAGCCUUGGAACUUGAUUUAUUGGAUUUAAGAUUAUAAUAUUUAAUUUCUCAAUAAACAACUUUAUUGAACAGAAUAUGAUUUACAAACUACGAGUUUUAGGACAAAAAAUUCCAACAAUAGGGUUAUAAUUUCCACAUUUAAAAAAAAAUUGGAUGAAUGAAAUCUGAAAAAUUCUAAAAUGUAAAAUUUUGUUCUUGUGUGCUCUUGUGAUAGAAUGCCCGAAUAUUUGGAGCAUUCAAGUGAGAAUUGAUCUGUAUUGCUUGUGGAGUGCUUUCAAGAUUGAGGGUCGAUGGGAGUUUCUAACUUUGUCAGAUUCUUGGUUCGCUAGAUCAUCUAAGUAACUUGAAUCUCUAUCUUAGGGGUUGAAAUUAAAUUGGUUUUGGAGCUGUUGGGGUUAUGUUCUUUGAGUCUUGUAGUUUAACAUGGUUCUUAGAUCCAAUGCCAGAGGUUUCGUAUCACAAUGAUUUCAAAGUGAAUUUCUCUUAUUCUUACGAUUACACAAAAUUGUUUGGAGCAGAGUGUGUGAUUAUUUGUUUAUAUGCUGACAUGUUAUUGUCAUCACACUUUGAAAUGAAAGAUUUAGUAAAAGUUGACAUAAUUCUUGGUGAAAAAUAAGAAAGAGUGAGAAUGGAUUCUCUUUUUGUCAAUCACACUACAUAGAAGAACUUUUAAAGAAAUUUGAUAGCUUCGAUGACACUCCUGCUAGAACACCUUAUGAUGCAAGUAUAAGCCUUAAGAAAAAUAAAAGAAUAGUGUUUCUCAAUUUGAAUAAGCAAAGAUCAUAGAGAGUGUCAUGUUUUUAAUGAGUUACACAAGACCUGAUAUAACAUAUGUUGUGAGUAGAUUGAGAUACACACAUAAUUCUGAUAAGGAUCAAUGGAUUGCACUCCAUCGUGUGUUAAGGUACCUUAAGGGCAAAGUAGAUCAUUGUUUGCAUUCUAACAAAUUUCUUAUUGUUUUAGAAGGCUAUAGGGAUGCAAAUUGGAUAAUAGAUAACGACGAAGUAAGCUUCACUAGUGGAAAUGUGUUCUUACUAGGAGGGGGAGCCAUAUCAUGGAAGUUUUCAAAAAAGACUAUUAGAGCUAGAUCCACUAUGGAAUCAGAGGUUAUCACUCUAUAAUUAGCAGGACAAGAGAGGUUGAAUGACUUAGAAGCCUAUUGAGGGAUGUACCAUUGUGAGGUGCAUCAGUACUAGUCUUGUUACAUUGUGACUCACAAGUAGCCAUUGGAUUUACCAAAAAUAGUGUAUAUAAUGGCAAAAGGAGACAUACGUCUUAAAUAUGGAGCUUUAAAACAGUUGGUGAAAGGAGGAAUUAUCUCCUUGUAAUUUGUGAGGUCAGAAAGAAACUUAGCGGAUUCUCUAACCAAAGGUCUAAUAAGAAAAAUAUUUCAAAAAGCCUCAUUAAGCAUGAUACUCAAACUCAUGAAAAACUCCAUAGCCCAUAGCUCUUUCUUUGGGUAGCUCUAGUAUAGACUUGAUGGAGGUAACCAAAACCAUAAAGGUCUAUAGCCCUUCUUUGGGUGGUUUUGGUGUGAACUUGAUGGACUAUGUCACACCCUGCUUUGCAUACAAACAAAAAAAAAAUGUGCCAUGCGGGAAGCGACGUGAUUUAGAUUAAACAUUUUUAAACUUGGACUUAUCACCUAGUUCACUCAAGUAACAUGACACUAUAAAACUUAACCAUUACGCGAUAAGAAACAUCAUAACGCUGUAGAGAGUACAACAAACAACUUCUUUUAUUAGAUUUAACCAUGCACCAUACAACAUUAUACAUAUAUCCUUGAUCAAAAUUACAACAGCUUAAACUAAACAUCUUCCUCGACUUCUAACUUCAAACGCCUUGCUAGCUCAUCCUACCUUCUUAGCCUAGCCUUAACACUUGAACACAUGGGAAGGAAAUUUUUAAAAAUAAGUCAAAAGACUUAGUGAGAUUUUAAGAAAAAUCCUUUGAAAAUACAUUUCAAAGACAAAAACGUUUCAGUUCAAUUAGGCUUAUCACCUCAUUUCAUAAUAUUCAAACACAUAACACAUAUUAGCCUUGUAUCUUUCUCGUCGAGACCAUGAACCAUUCUCAAUGCCAAGACUCAUCGCCUUGUGUUUAGACUACUCUGAUGGUCUUUUCAUCAGUAGCAUCCAGGAAUCCCUUGGUUUAUUCCUCGUUGUUCAGGCCGCCAAACAUAAUACACAUCUUUUAUGCAUUGACUAGCUUCACUCCACCAUGCAUACCUUUUCUACAUGGUUGCCUAUACCCUAUUGUUCAUAUAACAGUUAGCUCAUUGAUAGGAAUAAGACUAAUAUUUUGAACACAAUCUCACAUCCAUUUAAACAACACAACUUUCUUUAAACAUAAGCUUUCAUUUGAAAAUAUUCAUGCAUAAAACACCAUUACAAUCCAACAUGAUGUUUAAAAAAAAAGCUUUAAAGUGCAAAACACAUUUCAAAGUCACUCACAAAAAUUUGAUUUUCCUUCAACUUAAAACGCCUAACUUUAGCUGCAGCUCUUCCUUUUUUCUUAGAAUUUCCCUUAACAACUUCAUCACUUUGAAAAAUCUUCAGAAAAACUAACACCCUUAUAAAUCCUUUUCAGUUUUAUUUAUACUAAUCUUAAACGUGAUUAGUCAUCCUUAAGCUUCUUUUAAAAUUGUCAGCUCUUACUUAUAACUUUACAUGUGUAAGAUUAGUAUUUUACUUAAUCAUGCUUAACCCUUAAUCUUACAUGUAAAUUUUUGUCCAAUCAAGAUUAGGCAUCCCGCUUGGUUUCAUUUCGGGUGGUACUUUCAAAAUGCAUAAUAGUCCUUAAACGCCUAACGUCUUCUUGUCUCACCUCGUCCUAACAUAGACAUCAAAAUGCAAGCUUCUUCUCAUAACGCUUAUUCAACACUUAGUCAAAAUUUUGACCCUUAUGUUCCAAACAAAGGUCUCACAGACUAGUUAAAUUUUCAUAGUUCAAUUUUGAGUGGUUUGCCUUUGACAAACUUAAUGAAGUUGGUCUAAGUAUGGACCACGUGAAUAGUCUUCAUAGCUUAGUUGUGAGUGGUCUGCUACGAUAAACUUGAUGAAGCUAUAAACAUGAAUGUGAAAGUGGGGCCGUCUUGUACGAAAGAGUUAUUUUUCAGAGUUUUCACGGUAACCAGAGUUUUAUGUGCACGAUCAUAAAUAACACUUUAUAUCACGAAAUCAAGAAAAUUUAAGAAGUAAAAACGUGUUGUAUGGUCCCAACCUCAGUUAGUUAAGAAGUAAAAACGUGUUGUAUGGUCCCAACCUCAGUUAGGGAAAGUUCAAGAGGCAAAAACUCACUCUCACUAAUAAAGUUGUUGCACCAAUUCAAAUCAAAAUAUACCGAUACUUGCGUUUAUCUUCUAAUAGCUCAUGAAUUCUUUUAGAGUUUUCUUUUUCCUCUUUAUUUUUCUUCUUACCAUACCAGCCAUUCGUGGAGGAUGGUUGAAAAUGAGUUUGAGCUUAAGAUCCAUAACAAAAUGAAAAAGUUGUUUUUUGAAAGAAAGGAGGUAAUCGUCCCACAUUGGAAGAUUUGUGUUACUACACACUUGCUAAACAUAGGAUUUCCAAUGUUGGACAAAAUUCAUAUUUCACAAACCACUUUUCAUUACAACUUUAGAUUUCACAAACAGAACAGUCAUACCAAGUAAUAAUUUUGGCCGAUCAAUUUCUAUUCCAUAUAUCUUCAAGUUCUUAAUAGUUUAAUCAUUAUACUUUCAACCAUUGUCAAUUUUUAUUUUCUAACUACCUAAUAAUUUUGAUUUUAUUAAAAACUACCUAAUAAUUAUAUAGGUUAUAACCAAGUUUGGUUCUUAAUAAGGUUAAUUAUAGUCUGUACACAAGUUGGUUCCUAAUAAGGUUUAUUAAUAUAAAGUAUAAGAAAUUUUAUUCAAGUCUGUAUGAACAGUUUGGACUACCACUUUCACCAAACACAAAAAAAAAUCUUCAAAGGACAUUGAAAUCCUUUGAUCAAAUUUUUUUAGUGCUCCAGAUUAGUGGCAGUAUGAACACAAUGGACCUGUAACUUGGAUCCUCUUCAAUUUAACAAUCAGUAGGUAUUGUAAAUAAAAUAAUCAAAAUAGCACAGUCAAAAUCGAAUGAACGAAUUGGUAAAUAUUAUAUAGCUAAAGUAUAUUGAAACAAACAAUAAUACAUAAUCAAUGGGCAAUGGGCAAUGGGCAAUCUUAGGAUUGCGAAUUCUAAACCAACAAUAGGCACUACAAAUAUCAAUGAUGCUACAACGAAUAGAAGUUUUGAAUACUCUCCAGCAAUAGCUGCAAUUGCAGACUGGAUUCAAGAGCUUCUAAACCAAUUUACAAUGAUACAUAGGAAUAGCCAACACACAAAGUGAAUACAGUGGUGAUAUUCUGAUAUUACCCCACAGAAAUUGGUUAUUUGUUUGUGAGAAGCUGAAAGACAAUGGAGGAAGGAUUCAGAAAGGGCUAACCAUUCGUGCCAAUCUUAUCAAUACCUCUGGAACAAGGCGUGGUUUUGGUGGCGCCAUAGAAUCCUUUGCAAGAGCUUCCUCGUCUCCAGCAUGUAAUAUGGCAACUAUUUGAUCAAAAAGUUCAUAAUUGCCUCCACGAAACGGAUCCUGAAAAAAGAUGACAAGAAGCUUCACAAAAUGACUAUGUAGAAAGAUGCAAGAAGGAAUCUCUCAUCUUCCCAAGUACAACACGAAACGAAGCUAACAAUCAACUUUUUUUUUUCUCUUCCAAUAUAAUGGUUAAGUUCCUCUCCUUUUUGUAAGGGUAUUUAUACAGGUAUACACACUUUUAGUUAAAUAUAUCAAAUCAGUCACGAGUUUGUUAAAGGACUUGUAGAAAAUAAAAACAGGCAGAUAAAAAAGAUAAACCACCUUUUUUAUCCCUUCUCUUCCUAAAUUUUUAAUGACAAUUUUGUGAAAGUCAAAAAACCUAAAAAUGUAAAUAAUGUAUUGCUCUGGUCGAUCUUCCUCCAUAGCAUAAAUACAGUGGAUAAAUUUUAGAGAAAAUGUACGCAUGAGAAAAUAAUUAUCUUUUCCCUCAAAGAAGUUUGUGGGUGUGUGCACAUGUCAAACUUACGCUGAGUCACUCCUGUAGGAGGGUUAUAAAGUUCAAAUGAGAGUAACCAAAAGACAACAUCAGAAGCUACAAUAAGGCCUUGAGGUCAGCUUACUUGAAGGAACAAAUCUGUGUGAGUUUUUCCCUCAUAGAGAAAUAAGUCAGCUUGUGCCCCUACUUUUCGAAGUGUCUCCACGAAAGUUUCACUGAAAAUUUGGAAUUAGCAUCUGAAAGUUAAAAGGACAUAGAACUUAUUCAUCCGACGACCAUGAGAAUAUGAUUCUAUUUUUUGAUGCUUGAAAUUGGGCAUAAUCGGAUUCCUUUACUUUUAUUGGUUUCAUACCUAUGCAUAAUUUAUAUACUGAGCAGGAGCUGAUUAGCAAGCAUCUAUUAUAAGAUUCCAGAAAAGCUAUGAGAUCUUAAUAAAUAGAAGACCGAACAUACUUUUUUCCCUUUCUGUUCCAAUUACACACUUUACACCGCCAAAAAUAUUUUUUUUCACAUAAUCACCCAUUUAUACACAAUUAAAGGUUACAACACUUCACCAUUCCAAAAAUUAAAGAUAAUAGGUCAUUUUACAUAUUUUAUUAGGGUUCAUCUGAUAUCAAUUCAAUAAGAGAAAUACACUAACCUGGCAUCAAAUGGGAUUGAAUAAUCACCCGUGCCAUGGAAAAGAACAAAAGGAGGUAAACUGGAAACAACAUCACUAACACUAGGAUCUUGGAUUCUUAUUUCUGGGGAAAACUGGGACAAAGAUUCUUCACCUUCCAUUAUGCUACAGAGAAUAAAAGUGGCUCAAAUUGUGAAAAGGAAUAAGUUGACAUAAACUAGUCAGUUAAUGAAGAGAAAAUAGACAUUUAGAACCUACCUCAAAAAGACAGAACGAUAUAGACCCCUACUAUCAAAGUGAUCGACUAGUUUCCACAAGUUAUACCUGUUCACAGAAUUCAGAAAAGAAAACUUGAGUACAGGGUCCUCAUUCAGAAGGAAAAUUGCACAAUGAUCAAUAACUGGGACUUUAUAAAGUAAUGAAAUAAAAAUUGAAAGAGCAAUGGUCAACUAAGGGUGUUUCUACUACUUUCCAGCAAGACUACAUUUUGACUAAUAAACUGUUGUGAAUUCAGUCCUCAAAUAUAUAGGCUUCAGCUUUUCAAAUCUAUAGAAUGCACGGUGUUCCCCUUGUCCCCUCAUAUAGAUAAUAGAAUUUGAGAGGUGUUACAAGAUUUAUAAACCAUUGGCAUGAAAAAGGAUCAACCACCUGGAGGCCUUUCAGUUUAUAUCAUAACGUCCCUUGGGCUAUACUUUGAAAGGAAAGUAAAAGAUUUUACCCAGCCAAGAGCCAAUACAAAAAAUGAUUAUAGAAUCUAUUGAAUGGGAUGAAUUUGUUGUUAAAGCCCCAGAGAUGAGAAGUUGAGAGGUUACACAACAACCCGCCAUUUUUAUUGCAAAAAGUCCAGAAAAAAUAUUGACGUGUAUAGCUCAAAUUCUUCUCAUCCUAUUCUAUUCUAUUCUGACUGGCACCUUCUGAAGCACAUACAAAAUGUACUUCAUCUAAGUGGUCUUUAUAAAAGAAGAAAAAGUUUAGGAUUGGCGACAAAGCAUGCGAUGUCCAAUCAUAGACAAACCAAAGAGGCUUGGAAUUAUUGAUCAUAUAAUUUCAUGGGAAUUCCUUAAAUGCCACAAGAAAGACGUAGAAAAUUACCCUCCAGAUAAACCAAAAUAAGCUUUUAUUUGGGAGACACUCCAAUCUACACUCUCUCCUUUUCUAGCUUCUUUGAUUGCUUGAUCCAAGAGGGCACAAACGGAAAUAUGUGCACCAGCUGAUUGUCCCAUCAGAAAGAUUCUAUUAAGAUGGGGCAAAAUAAAAUAAUAAGGUGGUGAGCAUAUGAUGAAGGAUGAAAAAAAUGAAGAAAUCAUUCAGUCACCUGUCCAGAUCUCCUCCAUAGUCUGCUAUAUUCUUGCAUACAAAUGAAAUCCCUUGAGAAACAUCUUUCACCAUGUCACUGAUUGUGCCCUGAGGAAAGUUCCUGCAAAGUACAGGGUUAUGAGAUUAAGAUAGAAAAUCAAGACACGGUCAUAACAAGGACAUGUUUAUUAAAAUAGCACUCUUCAAGAAACUACUAUUUCUGUGUCAGAGAGAAAUUUGAAGUUUCCUUAUGCAUUUAUAGAAACAAGUUUCCUGUAUUUAACUCUCAAAGUUUAUUACGUCAGCUAAUUAUGUUUAACAAUCAUUUGACACAUACCUAAGAAGUUUCAAACUUAUAUUAACUCCAACAACUAGAUUUGACAAUAUCCAUUGUACCAAUAAAUAGAGCCCAUGUCCAAGAAACUACUAGUAUUAUCUGUACUAAUAGAUUUGUCAGAGAAAGUGUCCAACAUGUUGGACACAGAUACAUCACCCAAACUAAAGGUUUAACUUCUCUUAGGUUAACGCAUGCCAUUCAGUCAAGUUUCUUGCACCCAUCAUUCUUCAUUCAAAUAAGUCAAACAGAGAACCAUAUAAACCACCAGUAUCCCCCCUGCCCCACAGAAGAAAAUAAUAAUAACAAUAAUGAAGAAAGGAAGAAUGAGAAGAGUUUAAAAAGUUCAUCGAAGUAAUGCUUGAACAUAAUGCAUUACCUAUAGUCAAUUGAGGCUACAAUGACGUCUCUCUCUGCCAACUGCAGUCCUAAAAGUGCUCCCCAUGCUUUAUUCCUAAAUCAUUAACAAAUAUUAAUAUUGUAUUUCCAGAAUGGGAAACUAAGACGCAAAAAAGCUUCCAUGAAGAUAAUUAAACAAAUCAAUUUGCUAUUUUGGUACAUGUCCUUCCAAAAAAAAAGAGGUAGUUUGGCCAUUUUAGUUUUUUCAUAAUUCAUAAGGUUUCCCGAGGAUGUAAGUUUGUCAUUCCCCAGACCCAAAUGUUUACAAAAAGAUAGAAAAAGAUAUAAUUAUUAUGUGGUUAUUGCAGCUAUAGCCCUCCUGAAGAGAACUUAGAAAGGAAUAUAAUUUUUUAGUACCCUGACUAGUUAUCUUCAAGAUUCUCGAUUUUUUUUCCUUCCUAUCCUCCAUUUGGAUUACCCAAAGAGCUUUCGAAAUCAUCCUUCUUUAAUUAAGGACAACAAAAAAACCAGUGUACAGAAAAGUCUAAAGAAUAAAACAUGUAGUGUAUUGUAGUAAUAAAAUUGUAUAGCUUAGAAGAAGAGCAUCUGUAAGACCUGAACGAAGCCAAUGCCAAAAAUCAUUUUAGGAUGGACAUGCAUAAUCGUCUACAGUCUACACUUACCCAAUAAUCCAAGCUCCACCGCUAACGAAUAUCACAACUGGUUUCUUUUUAUCAGUAUUUGUAGGUAGAUACAAAUCCAAGCUGAAACAUCAUCCAAAAGAAGGAUAGAAAAAAAGUCAUGAAUUGGAUAAUGGUUGACGUAGAAAAAGGCAGACUUAACAAUUACCUGUUGUAGAACACAUACCUAUUUCUCGGUUGAGUUCCAUAAAUAAUAUCUCUCCGAACCUGACUUGAGAAGUAAUAGUCAUACAUAACUGUUGUAAACAAAAGGUAAUCAGAUACGUGAAUUAAUCCAGGACAUGCAAAUGUUUCCAAUAAUAACAUUUCAGUCAAAUUUCUGUAAGUCGAGAUGGCAACAUUAAUAUGAGGGGAUGAUAUUUUCUUUCUUUAGACUGUACUAAAAUGUUGAAAUGAUGGCCAAAAUUACAGGUUGUGUGAUCACAUUGAAUUUCUGUAAGUCGAGAUGGCAACAUCAAUGAAUUUAUUAUCAGAGAAAUUCAUGGAUACUUAAGUUUCAAAUAGCUGAUUAACUUAUAUUUUUCCAACAAUUUUUCUAUUAUAAUAAUUAUCUUGGAUUUCGUUCAUCCUCUCAUUUCUCUAUCUACAUGUAUCUCCCUUUAUCCUCCUUCAUCUUUUAGUUUUUUUAUUAUUAUUUUUUACAUCUAAUUUAAACAACUAUGGUUUUCAUUUUCUUUUUCCUUCAAAAGUCAAAACUUUCAUUGAUAUUCAGAAAACUCUGGACUUAGUACUUCUAUCUAGAUUGAUGUUGAAUUCACUGAACAAUUUCUUGUAAACAUGAUAUCCACUAUCCAGCCAGAGGGCUGCGAUGAUCGUGAGAGUAUCCAAACUCAGAAAACUGUCCAAGUUUAACGUGAUUUCAAUAUAGUUCACUAUACCUUACUCAUUAAAGACAAAGUGUAUCUACCCUUGCACCUGAGUUAAAAUCUUUAUCUUCACCAGAAACUGAGUGAAUCAAGAAUAUUUGGUACAAAAUAAAGUGGAUAAUUCUCAUCCAUUGACACAUAAGAGGCAGAGACGCUGUUUUGAGUAGAGUAUUGAUGUUAGAAACAUGAUUGUAUAGCCUAUCAUCUGUUAUGGAUUGACAUUGGCCCUAGAAGAUUAUUGGUGCAGAGACCCCCUUUGUCUAACAGAGAACAGAGAAUUAUUAAGUGAUCAAUUUGUGCAGCUACCAGUUGAGUGUCCUUUUUCAUUAUUUUUUUUAGCUUCUAAACACGGUUGAAACUUAUAAAGAGUACAUAAAUUAGAACAUGAACCUCUCAUUUCCCAUUGAAAUGCCAUGUAAGGAAAAAUAAAGAACAGGGGAUGUUAUGAAUCAACCAGCAUGAGAUUGAUCUAGUCAUGGAAGGGCUAAGGAUUAUGAGAAGUAACUCUAACCACCAUUUUUUUACAAAAUAUUUACAUACAACAAGCUUCAUUGGAUUAAAUAUCAUAAAACUUGACCAUUGGUCGAGUGAGUUUACUCAAAGUACAAAAAUGAUGGCUCAUAAGAACGAGAUUGAUAGCUAGAAGGUGUUAUUCAGAAAAUAGUAAGGAAGGACGUCAAAGAGGAAAUGUGGCCUUCACCAAUUUUAUAGGCUACGGAAGAAAGCGCAUGACUAAGUUGACCAGAGGCUUCUAUUGGUGCUUUAAUUUGUAUUCCCCACACGCAAUUUUAUAUUAAAGAUAACGAAAUUCCAAUAAGAUUUUACAGGACAAAAAAGCAAAAGACACUUAUGCAAUAAGUAUGUUAAAAAAAAUACCUUGAAGAAAACCGGGCAUAAGAAGGAUGGCAUACACUGCAAGUGCAGUUAAUCGUACGACCCACCGGUACCCUACCCUGAACGAAAAGAAGGGAUCAUGAUACAGAGAGAGAGAGAGAGAGGAAGAGCCCAUUGAAAAAGCAAAACUAUAUUCAUUCCGUAAAGAUUUCAUGAUUAAUUUAAAAUUUUACCGAUCCUCCUGUUCGAAGAAAAGAAAUUAAUACAAUAAGAGAUUUCAUGAUUGAAGUGAUCCCCAGGAGAAGAAAGCAUGAAACUAUAAGCUAUGAUAUAAGAUCCUUUCCAUUAUAGAAAGAAAAUUUGGCAUCCUGUUAGGUAUUUGCAAAUUCUAAUUACAGGAAGAACCCGCCGCAAAUUAAGGAGAUAAUCCAACUCAUAGUCAGAACAGAGAGAUAGAGGGAUCGAAGUUACAUUCACCACUUAAUCAGAACAUUCAGGCUUUCAAGUAAUGGACAAAAAGAGAUAGAGAGCAGAGAGAAUCCAUUUCCAGAUUACCCAAGAGAUCGAAGGAGAGUGAAGCUGAGGCGAGUAAUGAGAAAGGUUUCGGCAGCUGCAUGGCCAAAAUCUCGACUAAAAGACUGCUGGCGCCGUGGCACUUGGGGCUUUCCGACGCCGAGACGGCGGCGCAACUGGUGGUGGAAAAUCCCAAUCGGAUAAGUGAGCAUCCUGGAAAGCAGAGGGCGAGUCUGGGUGGAAUCAUCGUCGUCAAAGCGAAUCCCUUGGCCGGAGAACUUGACGACAGGGCGGAGCCGGUCAGCCGGAGCCGCCAUGGACGGCGGGAGGAGAGGAUGGAAGGGAAGGCGAUCGGAAGGGGAAAUCGGGAGGGGGGAAUUUGAGAUUCAGAUUUGAAAAAUUGGAAGCCGUUUUGAGUAUUGAGAUGAAAUUGUGUGAAUUUUGGAUUCAAAAUGGAAGAGAUGGGAAAAGGGUGUGAGAUUGGAAGGGUAAGAAAUAAAGAAAUAAAAGAAUGGGAAACUUUUGGAAGUUUCAAAGUUGCAAUAAGAUUGCCACGUGUUUGCGUAUGUGGCAUACCGAAUAAUAACGAUCACUUUGAUAAGACUCCCAAUUUGAUGAGAGAGUCCCUUCAAAGUUUCAAACAUCCUUUUUAUUUUUAUUUUUAUUUCUUAUCUAUCAUUUCCAUAUGCUUCUAACUUUAAACUUUUCUUCAUUAUUAAUUACCUCAAUUUAUUUAUUUCGUCCUUUUUCUUUUCAUGGUUCUAACACUAACAAAUUUGGACUACACAUCCUUUAAUAAUAUUUUUUAAAAAACAGUUAUUAAAUAGUACAACUUCAAAGUGUUUUGAAAUUAUAUUAAAUGGUUGCUAACUAAAAUAUACUCAAUUUCUCUCAUUUUUGAAAUCAUUCAAAUUGAAUGAUGGAUUCAAUUCUUUGUAUCUAUGUGAAUAAAUAAACAGUUGGAGGUGUAAGAUGAUGUAGCAGAUAUCCAAAGUUUCACUUACCUCACAAAUGAAUUCAAAGUUAAAAACAGUAGUCGAUGUAGUUUUAAAUUUGGGUUUAUAUACUUCCUAAACUUUCAUAAAAGUUGAAUUCAGUUAUCAAAUGUGUCAAGAAUUUGAGAAAGCAUGCAUGCAUGCACUUCAAAUAUUAAGCAAAUAAUAAUAAUAACAAAUAACAAAUAAAACCAUGAAAUGAAGAUUUGUUACAUCAAGAAUUAAUGAAAAUGGGAGAUGCGUUCCCAAUGAUCCUCCAACUAAAUACGGUGUCGUUGAUGAAAUGUGGUGCCUUUCUAUUGGCUGUUAAAGAUGAUAUUCAUAUUUAAUUAAAAAUAUAGAGCAACAACAAGAAGGGAAAAAAAAUAAGACAGAUGAAAUUCAUGGAGAAAAAUUAUGAGUCAUAAGUUUUGAUUCUCUUUAAUUUCUCACUUUAUUUAUACAUAUUAGUCUAACAAAUGUACUUGGUUAAUUAUUGUUCACUACAGAAAAAAAAAUUAAAUAGAUUAUUGACGAUUGGAUGGAUUUUGCUAUAUUUUGCUUUUUAAAAUGAUCCUUAAAAAUAAAGAAAAAUUUAAAAUUUAAAAUAAAAAAGUUGUAAUUCAUUAUUUAUUCAAACAAAAAUGAGUAGAAUUAUUGAAUAAAAAAACUCAAAACCAAAUUGUUAGCAUAAAAGCAAGUUAUUUAGAAUUCAAAGAUAUAUGAACUCAACUUUGCACCUCAAAUACAAAUAUAUAAACUUAGACAAAACAAUUCUCCAUCCCAAAUAAAGAUAUGUGAACUUCAAACAUCAUAUAUCAACUCACUAUCUCUAACAACCUUUUAUUAUUAUUGACGUUCAAUUUUUUCCUUCUAUUCUAUAUUCAAAACAUUACUUUCAUGUCUACAAAAACAUACUCUUUAAUAUUCAAUUAAGAUUCAAAUUUUGACCAAACAAGUAGGUAUGAAACGCAUAUCAAUAAUGUAAACAGUUUCAAGUCAACUCGUUUAGCUUAAAUGAUGAAAAUAAAUGGCAAUAUUCAACUAAUAAACAAGAAAAUUAAUGUCGGUAUAUUAAUUCAACGAUGGAGUAAUAAUAAAAGUGUUUCUAGAUGAACAAGAAAUGAUUAUUAAGUUUAUACCAAGUUGUUUAGAAAUAUAGUUUUAAUUAGAUAUGGAUAGAUAUAUACGUAUCACUAAUUUUACUAUAUAUAAAAAUACUUUUAAUAAUUUAUCAUUUAAAAUAGGAAUAUUUUUAAAUAUAAUAAAAUAAAUUAAAGGUAUUUACAAAAAAAAAAUAUAGCAAAAGUUUGAAUUCUACCAACAACAGAUAUACUAUUAUCAUAAACUUCCAUUACUAUCCAUGAUUAAGAGUGUCUAGAUAUUACAUAAUUUUUCUAAAGUAGAUUGUUUUUUAAAUUGGAUGUGAAAUUGUGGUGGAGAAAAAAAAAAGAAAGUAAUGGGAGAGAUUAUUAUGGAUAUGAUACUGCCAUGUUUCUUUGAUGGAUGGAAACUGAAAAGGAAAGAGUCCCACACUGUGCUUUCAUAAAUUAAUUUACUUUAAAAUAUUCGUUCACAUGGCACCCUUUGAAAAUUUGAAUAAUCAUUGUUCCUUUCAAAAAUAUUUUUCAUAUUAUAAAUAUUUAUUAGAUGGAUGUUCGUUAUACUACACUUUAUUGUCAUACUUCAACCAUCUACACUAUCAUAUGUCAUGAAGAUAUCAAUUUUUAGUGACAAUGUAAUCUAGCUCAUACUUGUCAAAUUGUCUAUAAAUAACAUAUUUUUCUUUUGCAUAUUAAGAAUAUGAUAAUUAAUUAAUAAUAUCAAACGACUAUCAAUAAUCAAACAGCUACAAAGGAUUAUCAGAAGAUCAUUGGAGAAUUACAACUUUUAAAUUUGUUACUUUACAAUUUAAAAAAUUUUGUGACAAAAACCCUAUUAUCAUAAAUUCGUUUGCUAUUUUUACAAACGAUUUAUUGUACCAAUAAUAUAAUCUUCAAUAAUAUUUCAUGUAUUAUAAACAUUAUAAAAUUCAAGCAUGUGUGUGCAAUAAAUCUAAAAAUUACUACUUUCUAACAUAAAAUUAAAUACUUAAUCUAACCUAAAAUCAACUUUCUAAUCGUUUAUAUGAAAAUUUAAAUAAAUAAAAAAAAUUAUGUAGAACACAAAUAUAAAAUAAUAUUUAUUACAUGAUAUCAUCACCUAAAAGAGUAACUAAAUACAGUUAUAUUAAGAGAAAAGAUUUUACCCAAAACAAAAGCUCCAUGUUCAAAAUAUAUGUAGUCUAUAACCAAAUAACAAAAACAUAAACAAAAAAACAAAAAGUAUAGUUUCAUGUUUAGAGAAAUCACCACCUUCAUUGUUCAUCUUUCUGUUCCUUGUGUUGAAUAUUUGGGAUCUUCUUCCUCAUAACGACUUUGUUCUUUCAUUUUAUGUUGAAUCCUUCACAAAUAUUUGGCAUCUGUGGUUCCUCAACCUCAAACUCUUCACAGCUCUCUCUCUUGGUUCCAUGAUUUGCUAAGCAGUUCUUCCAAACGACAAAAAGUUAUGUCCUCAAUCCCGACUUACUUUUUUCCUCGUUUCUCAACUGCUCUUAGCUUCCUUGCCAUGCUCAAACAAUACAGAAGAUAGAAUCUGAAGAGCUUUCAUUAAGAAGAUGAAAGAAAACAAAGGCAUACAAAAAAAUCGUCUUCGAGACUGACUAUGCACUAGAGCAAAAUAUAAGCAAUCCUACUAUUUCAAUCCCUAUCAAUUACCAAAUAGGCCUCAAUCACCACCAUAUUUCUAGAAAGCAAGCAUAAGAUUUGAAAUUCUUCUGCAAGUUUAUUUAUGUCACCAUUUCCUAUAUGAAUGUUGCUUUUGGAGGAGUGGUUGAGUGGUAACAAGUAUUACGGUGGGAAUAUGUAUGUUGGUGUAGCUUUGUGAAUGAACAAGCCUGACCAAAGUAUCCUUCAGCCAUGAGCGUUUAUCACGUCCUGCAAAUUCUUUGGAUAGCACAUUGUUGUGUGGAGACCAUUCCACACGUUAUCUGCAAGAAUAGCAUUCACUGCAUCCGUUGGAUGAAAUUGAUCCCACCAAAUAUGAUUAGAAGCAUUUUUACAUGCCAUAAUUGGUGAGAUGCACAUGAUCCAUCCAUUGUAACGACCAAACCCACAACAAGCAUUCGAUGUUACAUUGAAACCUAGAUGGAAAAGAGACUAACACAAUGAGACAAACAAAUGUGGAUCAUGGUGAGGAGAGUAAAAAAGAAGUUAGAUUGUCAUUCACCAUAAUAUUCAUGAUUCUUCAAGAUAUCCAUUGAACCUUGAAGCAAAUCACAGAAGAUUAUAUUCGAAUCGGGCAACUCCAUGCCGAGCUCCUCGACCACAUAUCUCAUGGCAAAGUUGAACUCCAUAACCAUAUCAUUUAUCUCCUCAAUACAGGCCCCAUUCUCACUACGGUACUGCCAUAAGUAGAAAGGAGCACAACCAAUAGGUGCCAAUCCCAUUACAACGAUUCUCCUAGCAUUCAUGUUAUACAAAUUCUGGACCAUCAACAGAGAGUCUUUUAGAAAGUUCUUAAACAAUUGAUAAAUUAACAUAGUGUGAAUAAAUGAAACUCCUAUACAGGGCUUACAACGUAUGGUUGGUUCCCGAUAUCUAAAAUAAUCCAAAAGCUCAAAUUUUGGAAAAUGAAAAUAUAUGCACAAUAACAAUAUCCUGAAGGCAAAAAUAUGGCAUAUAUAAUGGGUAAUGUAUGUAUAUACUUCUUUCUAUUAUGUGUAGCAAGAACUAUAUACAAUAAAAUCACCUUGAUUUCCUGUCUGAUUGUGACUGCAAGAAAUUGGUUAAAAUUCCAUGGAGGGUAAAGAUUUUGAACAUUAGAUAUAUUAAACAGAUAGUAAUGAAUGUAAUCGUUGAUUCCAAUUGAUAUGUAAAAGACUGAAUUGGAAAUGUGAUCGGCAGCAGCCUUCUCGCCCAUAUUUAGAACAAACUGCUGAAAAGUGUCCAUAAAUUGCUGAAUUUGUUGUGUAAAGGAGAUGUGUUGGCCCUGUUACAUAUAACAUUUCAGAAAGAAAAUUGACAUGCAAGAAAUCAUAAUACUAAGUUAAAAGAACAACGAUCGUAUCUACCAUUCUAAAUCAACCCAAGAUUACUUGAUACGUUAUGAAACUCCGUUUUACUUCCAUGAAUAUAUUAAUUUAUAACAGAACAUUAAAUUGCUAAAAGAAAUAGAAAUCAAUUUGCAUAUUUCUUGAUGAUUUUCUUUUAAUCAAUGAAUAAAACCGACGGAAAUUAAUGAAAGAAAAGAAGUACCAAUUCGGAUCCACUAGUGAAGAUAACUCCAGCACUAGCCGAUGCGUAAUUCACUCCUUGGAUCAUAUCUUCCACUGCUCCAACAUGUCCAAGAUAACUUGGAACAAAAGGAAGUCCAAGACGUAGGGCUGAGAAGAACAUCCAGAAACAAAAACAAGAAAUCAAACCUAAGAGAACGUUUAAAGAAAUCAUAAGAUAUCCAGAAAGAAGAGCAAAAAGAAUCAAGAAACAAAAAAAGAAGAAGAAAGAAUACCAAGAAAAUCGACGGGAAUUCUUCCAUUAGAGAACCUUCCAGUGGGAGUAUGCGUGUCGAAAUCUCGACCAUAGGGAAGAUGAUCGGCGCGGGCGAAGGUUCCGAGGAAAUUAUUGGUGCCGGAGUCGACGGUGGAGUCACCGAUGACGAAAAGGGCGGGAACAAGAGAGUUGGAGGGCGGAGGAGGGAGGGGUGGAGGAAUGGGAAAAGAAGAAUUUGGAAUGGUUGUGAAACCGUAAUUAGGAGUCGGAGGCAAAGGAUUGGGAUGAGGUGCAGGGUUUGGGAGAGGUGCUGUUGAUUGGAGAAAAACGGAGGAAAUGAGGAUGAAGAAUAGGGAAAUUAGGAGGCUAAGCGCCAUUAGUUUUAGAUUCGAAGGGAAAGAUUGUGAUUGUGAUUGUUAUUGAAGAAGGCGGGAAAAUCACGGCUUCAACUCUUCCUCAAACUCUUACCUUUCUAAUUUCUAAACUAUGUUAUGUUAAAUGUAUAAAUGUCCCUAAAAGAUUUGAAUUUAUAGAGAUAAAAAGAGAAAUUCCCAAAAUUACAUGCUUACACCCCCCAAAGUUUUAUAAAAAUAUGUUUCUUUUACACCCCCUUAGUUUUAAAAAGUUUUCUUAAUUCAUUUUUGUCUCUUAGUUUUUAAAAUGUAACUUUUUAGUCUUCAAUCUUUUAAAAUCUUCAUUCGAACUAUAUGAAAUCGUUGUAUGAUGUUCAACCAUAAAAAACACGAAACCCUAAGAAUAUCUGUGGCAUUGAGUUUCAGUGAAGAAGGUGUAUAAACCCGUCAUCGUCGUAAGAAGGUGAAGUAUGGAAAAUAUGGUCAACUCUGGAGUUGGGAAGAUGAAAUGCACUAGCUAGCGAUGGAGAUGAUGGUGGGCUAAAUGAUCUUUGGUAACUGUGGAGUUGGGAAGAUGAUGGUGGCCCACAAUGAAAAAUAGCAAAAAUGUUGAUGGUGGCCCACAAUGAAAAAUAGCAAAAAUGUUCAAGUCAAUGCGCGAUUAAUUGGCCACUCACGGACGUAACAUAUUUGGUACAUGAUCUUGUACCAAGAUCAUUUAGAUUUGGCUAAAUGUUCGUUAGAUUUAGAUUUUUUUCAAGAUUUUUUGGUAAUCGAUCGUUUAGAUUUUGUUGUUUAGCCAAAUCUAAACAAUUUUUUUCUUCAAGAUUUUUUGGUAUAGAUUGUUUAGAUUUGGACAAUCGUGUUUUGAGCUCCAACGAUUUUUUCAGAUUUUUUCAAGAUCUUUUAUAUUUAGUACACGAUCUUGAACCAAAUAACACUUUUAAAAUCAUAAGAAGGUAAAACCUUUCUAGAGAUCUGUGUGGAAUGUUGGGGUGCCCUGAAGGGUGAAAAUGACUGUGUGGAAGGCUAUUUCCAAUGUUUUGCCUGCCAUGGUCUGGACAACAUUCGCAAGAAAUGAAUUGUUGCUAACCCUCUUUGUUUAUUUUGCAGGACAUGCCUUAUGGAGGUAUAAAUUUAUUAAAAGCAUUUGACUCCCCUCUUUCCCUUUCUUACUCUAUGUUCUUUAUGGUUUAAAGGAUUGUUAGGAUGAGAUCGUGAAAGUGCUGAAUAUUAAAGAUUGGGUUGCUGUAUCCAUCCUUUUAUGGGAUGUUUGGAAUUAUAGAAAUUCUCUCAAGCAUAGUGGAGCAUCUCCAAAGGGCAAUGUUUUGAUGAACAUGUUUGCUCUUCAUGUAGAGAAGUUUAGGGGCGAGGAUGUGGUUGUCUAUGAGCAGUGAUAAGGGAGAGCCUGAGGAGUCAGGUGUCGCCUUUUGCUUGUUUUUGAAAGCUUAAGUUUGAUGCUUCUUGGAGCGAUGCUAAGAGGUCGGUGGCUUUAACUAAGUCAUUUGUGACUCUAUUGGAUCUCUCAUCCUAGCUAGCUGUGAAAAGAUUAGUGUCAAGUGGCCUAUCAAAGUGCUUAAGGCUCUUGGUUUGGUUAGAAGUUUGUCUGUUGUGUUAGCCUUUUUUGGGUCAUGGGUUUUCCCCCAUGUGCAGGUGGAAUAUUAUUGUACGAAUCUCAUUAAUGUCAUUAAUUGUUAGUCUUUGGUGUUGAUUGAGUUGUGAGGUGGUUGAGUUGGGAAAGAUUGCCACGGGUGGAUUUUUUUGGUCGGUGCACUUGCUCGACAAAUGAAAUCGCUCAUUGUUUGGCUUGUGCCGUAUUGUUUAAGGGGGACUGGAUGGUUUUUUUUUUUUUUCUAUCUCUUCUUCCUCUAGAGAAGAAGUUAGGUCCUUUCGUUAUAUUCCAAAUAUUUUCUCCUCCAUUUUUAGGGAGGAGGUGUGAUUUUGGCUAAUUUCUUGUGAAUGAAUUUCACGUUAAAAGAAAAAUUCCUUUCUAGAAUUAUUUUUCGUUCAUGAUUAUUAAUUUUUUUGUAGAUUUUUCUUAAAUGUUAAAAUCAUUUGAAAAUUUAUUAUUUAACAUAAAAUUCUUGAAUUUCAUUAGAAAAAUAAAUAAUAUCUCAUGAGAGUAUUAAUUAAAUGUUGUUAUAAUAUAUAAAUCUAUAUUUAAAAUAGAAAAUUGAGGGUGUGGUCAAGCGAGACACAUAUUUAUAACCUACGGUAUACUCAUAUACCUAUGUAUAAAAUAGAAUAUUAUAGAAGUUUUUUCGAAAAUAGAAAAAAAUAUUAUUUAUACUCCAUAAGAAAAAGCCACUAAAAAAUAAUAUCUCAGAAACUUUUAAAAAUAGAAAAAUUGACAAACGAAUUUAGGACGCAUAGUAAAAUUUUAAUCCAAGCUCAAAAUGGAUAACUAAAUUUUAACCCAAUACCAAAGCAUUCGUGUUUUUUUCCUAUAGGUUGUAAAUACUUUCAAUUUUCUUCUAUUAAUAUAAAUUCCAUAAGAUUUUUCAACGAAGGGUUUGACCAUUUUUUAAAAAUAUUCUAAUUUUGUUCUCCUUCUAUUUAAAUCAAAUCUAGACGAGUGUGUAUAAAUAUUCGUGUAUAAAAAAACACUCAAAUCUAAGCUAUUGUCUAGCAAAGAAUCUUAAAAAAAUCUAUCAUGUGACAAAAUAGUCUAAAUGAUCUCGAUGACAAUUAAUCACGAGUAUUCUUUUUUAAUUUUUGAUCGUGGGUGGUAAGCUUUUUGCUGCUUAUUUAUAUUUUUUUUAAAAGAAUCCAAUAAUUUAUUUAUUUUGACAAUUUGGGUAGAAUAUAUUUUAAAUGUGUAGACGUAAAUAAACAAAUGUGGUUUGGUGUUCCAAAUUAUAUGACUACGAAAUAACAACAAACAUUUUUCAAAAGGAUAAUUAUAAUUGAACUAUCUACCCCUAAUGUUUUCUUUAUUUGGGAAACUAACUCAUUAGAUUCACCUCCAACAUUUCAACCUAUUGCCCUACCGACGGAGAGGAUCAAUAGCCAAAAAUGGCCGGUUUGCUCUCAUGGGCAGCGGACGUCGUCGCCGGCGGCGGCGGCGGCGCCAACCACAACGACGAACGUACCACUUCCAUUCCCCUAAUUUUUACUCCCGACCAGCAGAAUUACGUUCGAGAAUUGAAUCAGAAAGCAGCUUCUCUCAGCCGCUCGGUCCGCGAUCUGCGCCUUCGAUUGCCUCCUCCCGACAUCUCCCAACGCCUUCCCCAUCUUCAUGCUCACUCUCUUGCUUCAACGGCCGAUCUUACUCUUCAAUUGAACGCCCACUCUUCCACACGAGAACAGGUUAGCCUUCUACAUUCUAAAUAUUACUUUGCCAGUAUACGUUUAACGAUCUCGGACUUUCAUUCGUGUUUGUUACUGUUCUCCACAACUCUAACUGCGAUUCGUGUUUGUCAAUUGUUCACCAUAGAUGCUGCAUUGUUGAAUAUUUGUUAUUGUUCUGUUUCGAGAUCAUUACAAAAUAGUUUAAUUUCGGUGGAAUUUAUUCUUAGCUCGAUUUUGACAAAAUAGUUUAACUUCUUCAAGGGGAGAUGUAUGCUGAUUUUUGGUGAGAGAUUCGGAGGAUUGAGAAAAGAGUUAUGCCACCGUUGCUAUUUAUAGAGUGAAAUUAGAUUAGAUUAACCAAUACAAUAAGGUUUGAUGAACUUUUGCCGAUGGUAUGAGGUUUGGCAAGUUUGUGCUUCUAUAGGAGUUAAAACUGGUAUUUAGAGAUCGCUGGCAGAUUUUGGAAACAAAUAUUAAACUUUCUGUACCAUGUAUGUGGAAUAAUUCUAUUGCUUUACACUGAUUGGUUGGAGAAACGAUUUAGUUAUACCCCAGAAAUGUUCUUGGUUGCCUUGUGUUUUCCUUGGUACGUUUAUUUUGUCGAAAAACAGUGCGUUUAAUCAUAUUAUUAUUCUUACUUGAAUGUUCAUAAUGUUUGUCAAGAACCUGUAAUAUUACUUCUGAUAGUUGGCAUCGUUCUCAUUUCCAGGUCCAAUUGAGAGAGAUAUCACUACAGGAAGAAAAUGUUGCAUAUGGAAAGGCCAUUUCAAAUUGUGAAAAUAAAAUACAGGAAAAGAGACAGGAAGCAGAUUUGCUUCUGAGGAAGUUAGAGGUAAUGGUUUAAGAUCCCAACUUCGUGUCAGUUGCUAUUUCUAAGGCUCUAUUUGAUGAAAAUUUCCUUUUUUGUUUUUGGUUUUUGAUAUUUGUGCCGGUUGUUUCUCUCCUAAUUUUGAUUUUUCAAGUAAAAGAAUCACUUCAAUUCCUAGUCAAAUUCUAAAAACAUAAACUAUAGUUCUCGAAACUUAGCUUCGUUUUAGUGAAAAACUUAGGUGUGAAGUAGCCUUUAUAAGCUUAAUUUUCAAAACCUAAAAUUAAGUACCACAUUGGUGUUCUGUUUGACCAUAAAUAUUCAUUUCUCCUUUCAAAUGGAUAUUACGUUAAUCCAGCAUUAUGGAAGAGUUGGAAAUGCAUUUACAUGGCGUUAUUAACAUGAUAUAAAAGAAUUCAUCAAAUUGUUGGAUAGUUCAAGCUCCUACCAAUAUAUAUUUUUUAAAAUUGUUCUUUGUUAAUUUAUACUACAGGAGUUAGAAGAAACCACCAAGAAUCUGGAAGUUGAGCUAGAAAACGCACAAGCUGCUCUGGAAAAUGAUGAAUCAAUCAACUUCGGAAAAUUGACAUCCAAACCUUCGAAAGUUGAAGCAGAACAAGAUAUGGAAUUAUCAAAGUCUGCGUUGCUAGACAAACUAGAGAUCAAGAAACAAGAACUGGUUUGCUGCCUUAUUUUGAUUUUAAUAGUUUUUUUCCUUUUCCUUUUCCUUUUCCUUUUAUCUCUCUUCUCCGCAUUUCCUAAUAGUUAUUGCUGACAAAGUUUGGUUAUUCUUCUAGAGUUCAAUGGAAGACACAGUUAAAGAAUUAGAAAAAAACUGGGCAGAAAUUCAGGAUAAAGCUCUAAAACAGCCUUCACCAGGUAUUUUCAAUUGGUCACAAUUGUUCUCCUUAUUCCUUUUUCAAAGACUUGAUAUCAAAGACUUUUGCAGUUCAGAGAGAGAAAAUGUUAGACAAACAACUCCAUAGCCUCAUGGAGCAACUAGCUGUAAAACAGGUGAAUCUUACAUUUCUGAAGUUGAAUGCUUAAACUUUCGAUUCAAAUAAUAAAAUCAAUUCCAAGUAUUUCCCUGUUUGUAGGCACAAGCCGAAGGUUUGGCAAGUGACAUUCAUCUGAAGGAGAUGGAGCUGGAAAAACUAAAAACAUCAUCAAGGAGGCUGCAAAGUAGCAGCUCCGAGGCUAAUAUUGCUCGUAAUCGUUUUGGAAAAAGCAUGUCCGACAAGAAUUUUCAAGACCUCUUAGCUGACUCGCACCACAGACUACCUUAUCGCAGUGGUGGUCGGAGUGAAAAUCAACAGAGACUGAUGCUAUUCCGUUCUGCUUUCGUGGUCUACAUUUUAGCUCUACAUAUAUUGGUUUUCAUCAAAAUUUCAUUCUGAACAACCACAUAUAUUCAUCAGUAUUUUAUUUGUAUGUAAUAACUAAUUAGAUAUAUAGAAACUCGGAUACCAAGUAGAACACCAAUAAAGUGAUCAAAUAUAUGUAAACAAAUCAUCCUUUUGAAUUCUCUCCAAGAACUGAAUAGAUGGCAAACUUGUGUUGAUUGUGUUUAUUGGCAUUCAUUCUUUCAUUUAAUAGGUGGAGCAAUACAGAUGAAGAGCUGUGGUUGUAAAAAAGAAAAAGAAAAAGUAAUAAUAAUAAUAACUAUUAUAAUUAUAAAGAAUAAAAACCAAAAACCAAAAACCAAAACAAACAAGACAAAACAAAAUGCAGUUGGAAGAACUUUCAUCUUUGAUUCAAUUCUGUUUGAAGAGCAAACUGAACUCUCUCUUGAGCUGAUCGGAUGCCUUCCAUUUUCAACAUAUGAAGCAAGAAAUCACUCCAAAUAUCAAUAGGGCCAGGCAAGCACCAAUGAAUACAAUCAUUAUUCAAAUUCUCAUUCCCUUGAGGCCAAUGACUAUAUUUACUUGGAUGGCCAUCUGGUCUCAACCACAUUGCUUGUGUUGUAUCAAGCAAUCUCAACUUAAAUCCUUUCUUUCUCCCUUCUCUUUCAGCUCUUCUAAACUCCUCCAUUUGAGUCAUAUAAAGCUCCAGAUUCAUACCUUCUAAUGCUGUGUUUUUGCUCUUGAAUGGCUCUGUUCUCAAACAAUUCCCACCUUGAUUCCACAGCCCAUUUUCAAAGUGUGAUGGUGAGAAAGUUCUCAUGUAAGUGAUGCCUUUGUAGUUCUCUGAGUUCAGAAUGGCUUUGAAGGCCGUUCUGAAGGCCUUUCUGUACCCAUGGUAGAUUCCUAACUCGGUUACAUUGUUGAGAAAGCAGUCGUGGCAGCCGGUGACUUGGCCGUUUUCAUAGUAAAACAUAGGAUGGAGAAACCAUUGGCCGGAUGAGAUCAUCAAGUAAUCGAAUCCAGCUAUAUGGGAAGUCCAUGCUUCAUCAUACUCGUCUAAAUAUAGAUUGAAGACACCUCCUGUUGUUAACUCUUUUGAUUUUACUAGAUGGGUUGUCCACAGAAAGGCCACUGUGAAGUUAUAGUUCAUGUAUUUCCAUUUCUUGAAGUGUUCGCCUCGGCUAGGUGAAACAUCUAUUGGAUACUCGAGCUGAGAAUCAACAAAUAAAGAAUGAGGUGUAAAGAAUAAAGUAAAUUACACAGAAAGUGGAAGUUUGAAGGCUUUAUGACUAUUUAGAAGCUACGCUGUUUCGAAAUAGUUUUCUGCUUUUUCAGAACAAAAUCUAAUGAAACAUACUUGAAUGACAAGUCCCCCCCCCCCCCCCCCCCCCCCCCCCCAUUUCUUUUUAAAAACCACUAAGUUGGUUUUCCUUGAACAAUAAUAAAACAACUUGAUCUCUACUUCUUUUUCUAGUACAACAACAAUUGGGGGUUCGUUCCUUCUUAAAAGCUUCAAUUUUACUCCCAAUCCAUCUGAUAUAUAUAAUCCUAAAGUUGCUUAUUAAUUGAAAAUUUUAAAAUGCAUGUGACAUGAGCAUUUAUGUAAUUUAGUUAGUUUAUACAACUUUAAUAAAUUUCCUUUAAACAAACUUUCAUGAGUUUCAAUUACAAUUGAAUUGCAUUGUUUUUAUUUUCUUGUAGCUGUAGCAUACAAGUAAAACUCAAUGGCAUUUUGCCUUCAACAUACUUUUUAAAAAUCAUUGGAAAAAAAACCUACUCAUUAAAAAUAUUUUCAGAAUAAAAGUACAAAAUUGAUUUCCAAAACAUUUUUCUUUUCUUUCUUUUCAAGUGCUAAAGACAGGAGAAUAGCAUAACCAAAUAAAGAAGAAUAGCAUAACUGACAUAUGUAUGUAUCGUAAUGUUUGUGAUUCAAAUUUCUCAUCCUCUAUUGAAUAAAAAACAGGUUUUUUUUCAUAACAUGUAUAACAGCAGAUUAAAAUUGAUUUAGUAUUAGAUACAUUACAUCAUGAAAAUAAAAACGGUGCUAAAUUUCUAAUUUCUCCUAAUUGUAUUGGGAAUGUUUUAAAUCCAUAAGUUAUAGUUAAAUACAACUCUAAAAGUACUAAACAAUACUCAUUGAAAACACAAUAAACAUAUUUUAUUUAUAAGUAAUUAACAUUUGGUUAAUUAAGAAAUAUAGUGGAAUCCCCCAGUGUCAUUGUUCUCAGCAAAGAUUCUCAUAAUAUUAAAACCAUUAUCUAGAUCAAUAUCACAUGGGUGUGUUUCAUGGGUUUUCUUUAGAAAAUAAAUAUUAGAAGAGAAGAAAUGUUCAAGGGAUUAAUUCAUUUUUCUAUAAUUGUCACAAAAAAAAAAAAAAAGGCAUUGUUAUAUGCACAUUUUUUGUUUUAUACAUUAGUGCCUUAAGUUUUUUUAAACUUUAAAUUGUACCAUUACUAAGUCAAACUAGAAAAAUAUCAAAUAGAUGUUUAAACAAUAAAAUUGAUUGUUAUUUAGUAAAUCUUUAAACCUUAAAAAAUAUAUCAUAAAUAGUUGAUCUAUUAGAUGGAAAUUAAAAUUUUGAAAACCAAUAGGAUAAAAAAUUAAAAUUUUAUUACACCCAUUAGAUACAAUUAGGCAGAUUUAUUAGAUAAUUUUUAAAGAAUUUAAUAGACAUUGAAAUAGUACGUAAAAAAGAUCAGAAUUUUAGAGAUCAAAUUUAUAAAUUAACUAAUAAAUACAUUGAAAUUUGAUUCAUAAUUAUUUCACAUAAGGUUGUUGACCUGCCAUAACCAAACCCACAUAAAAAUAUAUAUACUUUUUCUUUUAUAUAUAUAAAAAAAAAAGAAUAAAAGUAAAAGAAAGAAAAGGGAGAGGGGGUUUAAAUGAAUAAAUGGUGCAAUGUGACUUACCCCACACUCAAAGAUACUAAAACAAAAUAUUCCAUAUAGAGACUUUCAAUUCAUUCAAUUUCUAUUACUUCUCCAUUGUACCAUCAAACCUAUGAACACAAAUUUUUUUAUCUAAAUACGGAAUACCAACAAUAAUUUCCACACUAAGAGGCCUCUAAUUAAACCAAGCUUUAAAGUAUAAGGCACACACACACAAAAAGAAAAAGAAAAACUUCAAAAACAACAACAAAUAGUUUAGUCAUUAAACUUAAACAAACUAUAAUUGAACUAAAAGACUGUGAAUUUAUUAUAAAAAAAAAAACUCAAAGUAAAGAAAAUCCACCGCAAUCAAACAAAGCCUUAUCACAUGAUUCACAACACAAAGUCCCUACAUGAAUUCUUUAAUUUUGUUAAAAUAAAUAAAGAAGCAUAAAUAUGAAAAUAUAGAAAGCAAUAUGGAAAGUGAGGAGAUAAAAAAUGAGGAACGAAAUUAGUAAAAAAAAAAAAGAAGAAGAAGAAGAAGCUAAAGUAAUGAUAAAAAUGGUACAGCCGACAAUGGCGGAGUAAGAAAAGCAAAUAAAUAAAAGAAAAAGAGAGUGAAAAAGGGUGAAAUAAUUAACCUUGGAGAGGAGGCAGAUGAGAGACUGAACGUGAUUUCUGGCAAUAUUAUCCCCAACAAACGCAAACGCCUUAUGCCUCAUCAGUUCCAAAAACUGCGCCGGAUUAAACGAAGGAAGCUCACACCCGUCGGGCCUCCACCUCCAGCGCAGAAACCCACCGUCUGGCCUCCCGUACUUGAGGCAAUUGAGGUGGUCGUGAAUCGCCCAGCAGCUAUCGUUGGUGUAGGGGAGGGGCGCUUUGGGGUUAGAAUUAGGGAUCCAAUCCCCGAUAGCGAGAUCGCAAGGGAGGGCGGAGAGGAGGGAGAGAUUUCCAGAGGAGAAGAUCUGGGGGCGGAAGGCGGCGGAGGCGGCGGAGGCAGGAGAUUCGAGAGAGGUUUUGAGGAGUAGGAGGGAGUAAUUGAGGAGAGGGAAAGAGAGAGGGAUGGUGGUGAGGAUCAAUAGAGCUAAUGCUCCACCGAGAAUGGGCAUUAGGGUUCUGAAUUGGCCAUUUUUGCAAGGGCGGAGGUCGGUGGUGGUUGCUUGGCUUUGGAGCAUCAUUGGAGAGAGAAAGAAGAUGGAAGGAGAAAAAGGGGAAGUGAAAUUUUGCUUCUUUUAAUUAAAAUAUAAACAGACAGAAAAUGAUUUUAUUUAAUUAUAAAUAUGUAAAUAAAGGAAGUGUGUGUGAAAGACUGAAAGUAUAGUAAGGGCGUGUAGAUUAGUGGAAUAACGCAGGGAGUAUGGAAGUAGUAGGUCAGUUUGUAUCAAUUUUAUUCAAACUUUAUAUCCAUUUAAUUAUUCAAUUUACAAUUAUAAAGCUAUGAAUAAUUGGUAUUUAAAUUAGGAUUUAUGAUUUAUGGGGAGAGGUGGGUUUGAGUGAGUUUGAAGUUUGUGUUCAUAUUUAUUGUUAAACCUUUUUUAAAAGAUUCCUACAUAUAGUUGUACAUGCAACACUUUCACAUAUAAUGUACUCAUUAUUUAUAUAUUACAUCAACCAAAAAGCAGAAAAGUAGAAAAUGAUUCUGAAUUUUUAUUUUAAUUCUCUUUUGGUUUCACAAUAGAAUGUAGUAAAAGAGAAUAGUAGAUAGGAAGACUAAAAAUCCUCACUACACAACCUACCCCUACACCAUCUCCAACCUCCAACUUCCUAUGCCAAUCAAUAAUCUUCAUCUAACUUAAAUAAAUAAUCCCCCUUUUCUCUCCAAUUUCAUCAUUAUAAUUAACAAUUUCUUUUUAUUUUUACUUUUAACUAUGUAUUUAAUUAUGUUUUUUUUUUCUGCUUUAUCACUUAAGUAAAUUCAUAAAACCAUUUUGUUAAAUACAAAAAGGUAAAAUAUUCAUAAAAAGGUAUUUGAAUUGAAGUGUCGGUGAUGAGUUUAGGUCGUUGAGGAAGAUGAUUUUCCAUAGGAAUUGUUCUCUUUUUCUUUUUCUUUUCAAUUUUAACCAUCUUGGAAUAUAAUUUUCUUUUUUUUUUUACUGCUAUAGACAUGGUAAAUGUGUUUGUGGUCAUUCAUUGUGAUUUGUGAACUUACGUCUAAAUAAUUGAGAUUCAAAUGUUGUUAAAAGAACAAAGACCCCACUCGUCGUCACUUCUCCCACCAAAUUUAAGUGACAUUUCAUACGAUGCGACUAACUUUAGCCAUUACUACAACCCCACUUCAUACACUCUUUUAAUGUUUUUCUUUUAUAUUAAUCAACAUUAAUAGAGAAACUUUAAUUACACAACCAAUCUAAUUUGUUUAUGAAAACAUUUUAGAAAAUGUGUGUUUUUAUUUUAAAUAUUUUUUAUAAAAUUAAAAAAGAAGUGUAUAUAUAUAUUUCUAGUCCAUAUGAACAAUGUCUAAUAUAUAUAUAUAUAGCUUCUUUCAUGAGUCUCAUCCAAGUUUAAUUAAUUCAAGUUAUGGAAGAAGAAAAAAGUCAUCCAUACAAAUUAAAUUGGACAGUACUAUAAAAAAAAAAAUACUCCAAUAAUUUUACAACCGUUUACAGAGUAGAAUUAAAGAAUUUGUUGCUUUGUACAAAUCCAUAUAUGAAGUUUUAUCUAUUCACACACCACAACUGGUAUAACUCUACAAAUUAUAUAACCAAUUUGGCACCUCAAACACCUUAAGAUUUAAAAUCUCAAAUUUAAUGAGACGUCAAGUUGAAAUUUUGAAAUCAGAAAUUAAUUUUUUUGUGGAGUUUAGACGUACGAAUUUUGGAUGUCGAGAUAUUUAGUAUGAAGUUAGAAAGUAUGUGUUUUGAAAUCCCCACCUCAUCCUUGAUAGUUGACAUGUUUAGAUUUUUUAAAAAGAAAGUUACAUUUUUAGUCACCAAAUUUUGAAAAACGUAUGUGUUUUGGUUUAUGAGUUUUAAAAAUGUACCUUUUUAGUUCUCGUGUUUAUAGAAACAGACACAUUUUGUCUCCAAAUUUUCAAAAUAUACCUUUUAGUUCUUCCGUUUUUAAAGUUAGGUUAAAAAAGUAUCUCAAACAACUUUAUAUUUUUAUAUUAAGUAUUACAUGACAUUCUAAAUUAGAAAAAUAAUUUCCAAAAUUCAUAUCCUUUCUAUUUUUUAAUUUUUUUAAAAGUGUUAUACAAUUAUUUAAAAAAAAAAUCAAACAAAAAAUACUUAUAAAAUCUUUUAAAUUUAUUUAAAAAAAUUAGACUAAAAAUGUGUUUUGAAUAAGAAAUUUUGAGACCAAUCACAAAUUGUCACAUUAUUUAUUAAAUUAAUGAUGAAAAUUGCAAAUAAUUAAAUUUGUGACUAAUUAAAAUUGACAUGUGUUCCAAAUUAAAAAAAUAAAAACAUAAAUUGGUUCAUUCUAAUAAUACCUCAUGUUUUUGUCAUAACCCUUGGAUCAAGUUAAUUGUUUUGAUUCAAUAAAAUAUUAUUUAUUUGGACUAAGUUCAAUUAAACCAAAAAAAUAAGUUUACUUGAGCCGCCCGAAGGCUAAAUAUAACUUAAAUAAAUGUGGCUAAGCCCAUGAGUCUGGUCCAUGAACCAACCAGACACAAGCUCAUAAAGUCCACUAGAUAACUCUAUAAAUAGAAGAGUUCUCCUCAUUUGUAAAGGGGUUGGAAAUUUUUUACUUAAGAAGUCCAGAUAAGACUCCCUAACUCUUGAAGUCGACCAUCUUCGAAUAUUGAAGCUUAUCUUUCAAGACUCCAACUUCUACAAGCUUUCUUCUAAGACUCCAAUUUUCCUCGAAGAUUGAAGCUUUUUUGAAGAUACAAAGCUUGAUUGAAGCUUCUUUGAAUUUGAAGAUACAAAACUUUCUUCCAAGACUCCAACUUCAAGAAUAUUCGUGCUUUGCUUCCUCAAAUCAAGCAUAAGGAUCCAAUCGAGAGAGAAUCAGAUGAUCAAAUUCUAGAAAUCAAAUCGCAUCGCAUCAAAUCAACAAGAUACAACAUCAACACCACGAACCAAAUUUCUCCAAAAAUCUCGUGCGAACAAUGUGUUUGUAAAACUAUGACAAAACACACAUUUUGAUUGAAACUUGAAAACUAAGAAGUAUUAAAUAAUUAUAUGAUCAUUCUAAUUUGGAAUAAGAAUUUCUAAAAAUCAUAUCAUUUCUAUUUUUUUAAUUUUAAAUUCAUAUAAUUAUUUUUUAAAAAUAAAAAAAUAAUUAUAAAACCUUUUAAACCUACUUUAAAAUUUUAGACUAAAAACGUGUUUUUAAAACGGGGACAAAACACACAUUUUCAUUAAAACUUAGAAAGUAAAAAGAUAAUUUAAAUACAAUUUAAAAAUAGCAGCCUUUAAAAAUAACAAAAUAAAUUAAAAUACUUACAAGCUAUAGCAAAAUUUUAAAUUCUAUCAAUGAUAAUUUUCUAUCACUACAGUAUAUCAAUGACCAUCGGUAAUAAAAUUUGAUAUAAGAUGCAAAUAUUUUGUAAAAUUUGUUAUUUUUUAAAAUAUCCCUGCAAAUAAAUAAAUAUAUUAACCAUAUUUUAUAUUUGCAGAAAUUUAAAAAUUAUUUUUUAAGAAAAAUGGUCAAAAAUUAGAAAAUGGUCAAAAAUGAUAAAAUGGACGCACUAUUUAUAGUUGAAAGUAAAAAGUAAAAUCAAGGGUAACGAUUCUUUUCCUUCACUGAUUUGUCCUCAAUUUUGUAUUUUUUUUAUUGUUCUUCCUUCUGAAUAUAAUUUUUCAAAAUUUCUUCUUCUGUAAUUUAAUAUAGUAUUAAUUUUCUUUUUUUGGUACAGUAUUAAUUUUCUUUUUUUGGAGAAUUGUAGCAAAUUCUAUGACAAACAUAGUGAUAGAAUCCAAAAUUUUGUUAUCUUGUAAAUAUUUUAAUUUAUUUUAUUAUUUAAAAAAUGCUCAUAUUUGUUCCCUAAAAAAACCUAGUUCUGUAUAUUUUUCUUCCGUAGAUUAACUUAUUAAGUUUUCUAUUUUUUUUUGGUUAUAAAAUGCUUGUUUCUAUAUUAAAAAACAUUUAAUAUUAAUAAGGGUAAUAAUAGCAUUUUUUGAAAAUUAAUUUUUUAAUUCUAAGAAGUGGGGUUUUUUUAAAAAAAUAUUUGGGGAUCCAUUUCCCCAAUUUUCCAAAGGGGAAUCUAUCCCCCAACCUCCAUUCGCACCAAAUAGGUGAGGUUGGGGAUUGAUUUUCCCUGCAGGGAGUGAGAAAGGGAAUGUACCCCAGGCCCUACCCACCUUGUUCCCAACCUUACUCAAUUGACAUGUUGACAACACAUUUUACUUCGAAAAUAAGUUCGGUGCUACAAGGUUAAUACGUGAGUUUUAUAUCACAUGUUGCAUCAGCAUUCAUCCCUGCAUCAGCAUCAGUACUAGAAGAGAGAUGAUUAUGACUACUACUUCAAGUCCUAAGCAAAUUAUUGAACCAUGUGAAACAUAGCUCUUAGUGAUGACGACAGAGAAUUGGAGGAUGUCCAAGAGACACAGCUUAGUUAACAAUCUACUCAUGCGGACCAAAAGAAUAUACGUUCAAACUACACAAGCCUAGUCAAUAAUCUACCCAUGCGGACCAAAGGAAUAUAUGUUCAAACUACAUCUCCUAUUACAAAUGGUUCAUGAAAAACUAUUUUUCCUUUGUAUUACGGUAACACGUCUUAAUUUAUCAUUUAAUUGAAUAAGAUAUAAUGAGAUUGGGUUUGACGUGUGUUAUUAUAUAUGAAACUAUUAUUAAAAAAAAAAUCAAAACAAAGGAAAUUCUAAUUGACACUUAGAAUCGUCCGAUGAAUGUAUAUAUUGUUGAAAUACCAAGAAGCAUUUGAAUGCUUGAAAUUUUCACAACGUUGUUUCUAUACCGAACAAGCUCAUUGGCUUUUGUUACUAAAAGUUAUCAGAAAAUAGUGGGUGAGUAUUAUAGAUUGCCUUUGUUUUUAGAAAUAAGUAUACUAAUUGACCUGGCAUGUUUUAUAUGUAUAUGAGAUAUAGAAAAUUUCUACUAGAAAAUAACAUAUAGAAAGAGUGAUGCAAGAAACACAAAUCCCCAACCUGUUGCCUCAAUGGGGACGAAGACGGGAAUUAUAUAACCACAUACCCAAUCCACACUCUCCUAACCCCAUCAAUAACCACCCACGACAAUUUGGGAAUCACUUCUUCACAUAUUAGAUAAAGAAAAGAUUCUCAUUCCUAAAGUGAUAACAAGUACAUAGUGAAAAAUACAACCUAAUCUUACUCAAACAGAAACUAUUCUCUAGGUUGUACAAUUGUGUCCUUGAUUCUAAACUACACAAUAAAAGAUCAGGUCAGAGGAAGAUCAUUUUCUAGAGAGUCGACCGCUUGAUUUAUAAUCUUCUUUUACCCCACACCUACCCUUAAAAGGCUUAAACCAAAAGCACAAUUAUGUAUCCCCCUAAAUCCUACUCUCAAGGGGUGCGUUAGAAAAUUGUUUCAGGAAACUAAGAGUAUUCAUGAGUCAUGAUGCUAACGAAAUCCCCUCCCCUCCAUAUGAGAAUAAUGGAUUUGAGAAGGUUGAGAUAGAGGAACGACUGCAAUUCUUGGGUAAGCAACUGUGCCCCAUUGGUUCGAAGAAUCUUUAGUCGGAAUUAUUCUAAACCUUGAUCACCUGUCAACAUAACUAUAUCCCUCGGUCAUGUCCUUAAACCAAAAAUUUCCAACUGAAAAUACCAAAAGGAAAAAUGUAAUCCCAAGACCCUAACAAAACCAAGUCAUGUAUAUGAUAAUCGACUCAAACAAAGGUAUCACACAAAGGCAACUACUUGGUCAUAGUUGAACAAGACUACAUGCAAAGUACAGCCUGCGGACAGAUAAUCAGCCUAACAUUGAGUUAGAACCUACACCACUAACAUCAAGUCUUUGUUCUUUGGUAAAGUGUCUCCUUCAUUAUCUAAAUAUAAGAUCACAUGAAUCCUUAACAAUACAAAAUGGACAAUGUCCUUAGACUCCUUAUAAAAAUCACUCUUUCGGGGGUUGUUAAGUAAACACCCUAUGAAGACUCUCUUUGGUGACAGCUCCAAUAGCUUAUCCCUUAAUUAGACCAUUUGCCAAUGAAUUUUUUAAUCAUUGCCCAUAAAUAAUUAGCUCACUUGAUUUGAAGGAGUAAAUUUGUAAGGUAGGCGUGUGUCACAGGUGGGGCAUGCAUGCCAAUCCCCUGCGCCACCCAUGACAGUGUGGGACUGCUUCCUCUAGGAGUUUGAUUAUAUUUUGGCUCAGUAGAGGGUGGUCGCUAAUUCAACCGACUAGUUCCUUCUCUAUUUGCCUUUUCAGGAGAUGGUCCAAUUGUUGAAGUUAGUGGGGGAGUUUGUUGCGGUAUGGGUUUUGUGGGGUAAGAUUGGUCCUUGGUAAAGUUCCAAGUUUACCUUUACGAUUUGAUUUCGAAGACUUAUUGUCAUUACUAUUUAGGCAACAUUAUAUUUUCUCAAUCGCAUUUCUUUUACUAAUAAUAAUAAUAACGAUAAAGAAACUCACUCAUCAACAGGCAAAGCUUAUAGUUAUAGAUAGUUUCCUGUGAAUUCUUCUUUUCACCCAAUCAGACAUUAUUUGAAGCAAAUAACUUCUCAAAACUAUCCCUACAAAACUUGUCCCAACCAAUAAAAGAAUCUCUCAGCCUAAAUGCAGUACCAAGAUUAAUCAGGAUCAAUCACUUCAUGAACAAAUAGCAUAUGGCUUCUUCUUAAGAUUGUCCAAUAACGUAUAAACAGCAUCAUGAAUAUGGAUUUUUCUUUACAUUUCCCUAUUGUUAUUUCUGGACUAUUCUCCCUAAGAAAAUGUGAAACAUAGCCAAAUGUCCCGUCUUCAACUGAUCAUCAGAUAUGUUAACUCAAAGACAUUUAAAUUAAUUCUGCUACAUGUAAAAUUAUCAAGUAGAAAUAGACUUCAUUAAAUCGUUUCCUUGACUCAAAAAAUCUCAAAAAGGCAAUAACAAAAUGUGGGUGAGAAAACUCCAACAGCAGGAGUAAGAAAAUCACAAGAGGGUUUGAAAGAGAGAUCCUACCUUUAAGUCGCCCUAGGAGUGGCCCACUCAACUCUAAGGAUGAGAUUAUCGUAACCAUAUCCAUUAAGCUUGUUAAUUGAUCUUUGUGCAUCCUCACGAUUCACAAAGUUUACAAAACCAAAUCCUCUGCUCAUGCCAUUCUUUUGAUCAACAGCAACAUAAACUCGGCUAACAGCACCAAAAGGUCGGAAGAGCUCAAGCAAGUCAGGUUCCCUAGUGUCCUCCGAAAGAUUGGUAACACGUACAGAGUUUUCAUCAUUCCUACGCCUCAUGUCAGUUCCAGUCCUCUCCGCCCCUGCUCUCAUACCUGGAGGAACAUACGCUCCCUUUGUUGCACCAGGAGCAGCAGCUGUAGUCUCUGGUGCAACAGGCUUAUCCAAUCCAUCAGCUUGUGGUGCCAGGUCUUUGUAAGGGCACCUUGAGGUCCAGUGGUCACCCUUUUUACCACAAGUUCGACAGACCAUAAGAACAGCUCCCCCUUUUCCAAGUUGAGCUAGCGGGUCACCAGCAACCUUGGGCUCCUCUGGUUUGCUACCUGUAAUCAUUUUCAUUCUUUAAAAGAAAAUUUAUUGUAACAAGGCAAGAAGAUCGAUUAAGGUGAGCAGAAUAGAGUAUCAAAACUGUACAAACAAUAUUUAUGAGCAGCACCCAAGUAAAAUUUCAAACUAAGAAAUCAAAAGAAAGGCCCGGAGAAAUUUCUCCGGCUUAAUAAAUCCUACAGACAUAGGAUACAAAAAGAAAAUGAAAUCAUAAUUUGAAGCACCCAAUUCACAAGACAGCCCUGUAAUUCCCAAAAAGAACACACGCCACAGCAUAGUUCUGCAAGCCUAUCACUCUCUCCACACAAAAGUGAUUCUCUCCCCUCGUUUUGAAUACAAACUAAAAAGGUUUACACAUCUCCAGUAAGCAUGGACCACAGUUUUACAUAGCUCAAUCACCACCGUAACCAUAAGAACAACCUUAUGUCCUCCAGGUCUUGUAAGUGCUUCCUCGACUCCACAAAGAAACAAAUGACAUGCUCUAUAACCAAAUUAUAACAUAAUAGUUGAUACAUAGAAAAAACUACCAAAAUCAAGAUUUAUUGAAAACAAACCAGGAGCACGAGGGCGCUCGAGAAGAAUCUCCUCAGUGGAGACCAUAGUGAGCCGACUGCCGACGUCUUCAUGGACAGCAUCGCCGAACUUUGCCCAAGAACGGCGCUCUACCGCAUGUUUACUAAGGCGAGCAUGGGCGAGCUUGCGUGUACGAGUUGUCGUUGUGAUUUUGACCUUGUUACCAUCUUCGUUAAACUGAUACUCAACAAUUUUCUUCAACCCAUUUUCGUCUGGCCCGAUAAUUUGCUUUGGAGGAAGAAGAAAAUCUAGAUCCCCAUCGUCAUCUUCAAGCUCCCCCCAUCUCAAUUUGGAUGCAUUAGUCUGCUGAACCAUUGCGCAGAAGAUGGAGAGCCCAAAGUGCGAAGGAAAUUUUGGGGGCUAGGGUUACGCUAGGGAAGGAGAACCAAAAGAUGUAGAAGUUGCAAAUUAUAAUUUACAUAAUUUUUUCACAAUCAAUUGUAGGAAACUUAGUUCAAAAUAAUUCAUCCUCCUUUUCACCUUGUGGGUGAAAAUAGAUAAUGCUUUUCUUUUUUUUUAAUCUUCUCAAUUAAGAUUGAUCUCGAGCUUCUUACUUAAUUUGAUAGCCCACAAUUCAUGCACAUAUACAAUAACUUCCACACUUUCCACAUUCUGGCAUUAAGUUCUUGGCUACACAUCGUAGGAAUCUUCGUAUCGUUUUCAUCUUCAUAUGGAAAUCUCUGGUACCUGUCGGACAUAUUCGACCCGACAUUCAUGAAUAUCUUUGCGCGUGCUCCUGUAACAUAAUCUUUUUCGAACAUAUAUCUUGCCCUUCGUUGUAGGAUGACUCUGUUAAAAAUUUCAAAGCAAUUGUUAGUUUUUUUAUUUUAUUACAAGCGAAUGAAUAAUGACUCACACUAAAUUAUUUUCCUACCUUGACCCAACUAUCAAACAAUUCCUUCUCAACGAUUAUGCACUUAACCUCAUCUAUCCAUUUGAACCCACUGCAUGAUAGGCCUCGUAUUUUUGCUAUGGCCUGGAAGGUUGGAAUGUUCUCUCAAGUGUCUCGAUCUGACAGUCAAUAGUAGUGGUCGUUUAGACAGUGCAUCCUGACAACUUUUCCACCAUCAAUCUCACUGGUUGUUCUAGGUAAUUGGGUAUGAAUGUGUCGUUGUCUGACUUCCACCCACCGAUGAAGACUAACUCAACCAAACACUCCACGAGGGUGGACUCCUUCUCUUUAGUCCAUAAAUGUUUGAGGGCUCGUGACGAACUAGCCAUACUGACAAAGGAAGGAAGAAAAAGAAAUCGUAAGCGAAUGAGUUAGAGAAGAAGUAAACACAUGGAACAAAAUAGGUCGUGCGACAUGUCAUGGGUCAUUGUUUCAUUCAUUUCGUGGAUACACACAUACAUUCCACAUAUAAUAAGAUUGGCCAUAUUUAAUAAAUUAAAGUAACGGGGUACCAUUGCUACAUUAUGAGUACUACUGAUUACGCAACUCUCAUUGACUAAACAUCUCUUCGGCUAGAUCAUCUCUCCACUGACUCCAUUUGUUGGAGGUCUCAAUGUAGUGAAUGCCAUCACCUCACUAGAAGAAAUAUGACCUUUAAUGUUGGUUUAAAACUAACAUCAAAACAAAAACGACAUUAAAGGCCUUUAAUAAUGCUAGCAUAGAUGUCGGUUGCCAACAGACCUUUAGCCUCGUUUAAUGUCGUUUUUAAACUGACAUUUUUAUGGUUAUUGAAAAUCUUUAGUGUCGGUUGGCCUUUGAUGUCGUUUUAAAAUCGACAUUAAUGAGACAUUUAAUGUUGUUUUUAAAUCGACAUCAAUGAAUCUCUUUAAUGUCUGUAUUAAAAUGGCAUCAAAGUUUUGUUUGGUUCGUUUUAUAAAAUUGUUUUUUUAAAUUAUUGCAUUAUUGUCCAUUUUUUAUGAUGUUGAAACCGACAUUAUUUGUCACGAAUUACGACAUAAAAUAUUCAUCAUCAAAUAUUAUAAAAUAUAAAAAAAAUCGUUGCACACUUGCUAGCUAUAGAAUGUUUACUACUCCAUGGCAAACCUUAUAAAUUAUUUCUAUUUCGAAGAUCAACACCUACCAAAUCAACAUACACUUUGUUAAGAUAUUUUGGCAAAUAGAUUACAAUCUUUUUCAAGUAAAUAAAAUUGUGUUUAGAGGCUCCUACUAUGAAGGAAUCUUAAUAAGGUUGGUUCCUUAUUUUAUGGAGAAGAGAUCUUUUUUAAAAAUAUAUAUUAAGCGUCGUUCAUGCUCAAGGUUUGGUUGAGCGAAAAACAAGAGAACGACGGUGAAUGGUGUACUGCUAAACUUGCCGAGAAGAGACAGAAAAAGGUGAAGGUCUUCAUGUAUAUUUAUGUCUAAUAUACUCACCGUAGAUUACAGGUUGUUUGAAUAACCUACAAAGAAGAUGAUGUAGUGGAUAGAUUGAUGAGGAAUAUGUCGACAAGAAGACCGCAUACUUGAGGGAUCAAUUCUAAAGCCAGGAGGAGCCUGUACUGGUCUUGGUAGCAUGUCGAUGAGAAGAUCAUGGAGUUGAGGGAUCAACUCUGGAAUUCAGGGGAGCCUAAAUCAUUCUUCAAAGAGAUUCAGGAAUACUUCAGGGGAGCCUGAGUUUAAUAUUUAGUUAUGCUAUGAUUAUUCAAUGUAACCCGUAUGACGAGUUACAUAUUGAGAAUCUCAGUAAUAUUCCUUAUCCGAGUAGAAUUCAAUGGCAAACGAAUAAUAUUUCUAGCUAUAGAAUUCAACAUCUAAAAAACUAGCAUACAUUUUUCCACACUUCCAUGGCAAACCAAUAAAAAAAAAUUGUUGCACGCUUGCUAACUAUAGAAUGCCUACUACUUCAUGUCAAACCAAUAAUAUUUCUAUUUCACCUACAAUGCACAAUAUCCAACACCUAACAGCACACUUUUUCACAUUUCAAUAUAAAACUACAACAAAUACACAUCAUCCAACACCCUUUCAACAUCCAACAUCCACACUUCCAUAUCCAACAUCCAACAUCUAAUAUACCAACACAAUUUUCCACACUUCCAUAUCAACAAACACACUAAAUGCAAUUACUAUAAGUGAAAACUCAAAAUCUAAAAAAUAAUAUGUAAGAUCAUGAUAUAUUACUAAACAAAAGUAUGUGUACAACAAGUUCCUCCACUAACUAAAGUAUAUGGUACAAGCUAAAACUAAAGUAUGUACAACACCUACUUCAAAAACUACAAGUAGAAAACUACAAGCAAAAAAGCCCAAAACUAAAGCAUGUACAACAACCAAUUCUUUCACAAACUAAAGUCUAACUACUAACUUAUAUAUUACAAAAAAAACAAAAGAAAAAACAUGUAAAAACUUACACAAAUCGGCCAACAAAACUUGCCCAUUUUAUUCGAAUCUCGCCAAUCUCCUCUUGCCUAUAUGCACUUUUUGUAUUGAACUACACAAAGAAAGAAAAGUGUGGAAAGAAUGAGUUUUGAUCAUUAUUUAAUUUUCACGUAUAAAAAGUGAAGGUAUAAAUUUACAAGGCUAGUAAUGGGAGUACUAGGAUUAUGCACUAUUUCGUGUUUAUAUUUUUGGACAUAGUACCUACACCCUACAGAAUCCAAUUGAUGAGGGCACUGCAUGUAUAUCAAUUGGAUACAAAAUAUUUUUAUGUUUAUCGAAAAUAAUUAUGUGUCAAUGCAAAUUACCUUUAUAGGUUUGUGUCAAUGCAAAUUACCUUUAUAGGUUUCCAUUUCGGAGUUGUCCGAUAGUGAUGUAAAUCGUGCUUAGCUUGCAAUGUUUUUAAUCCUAUAUAUAUUUGAAAACAUUAGAAUUAGAAGACAAUAAAGUGAAACAAGAAGUAAUAAAGUGAAUACACUUACACAUUUUACACAUUUAUGACUCCAUGAAUGUCUUCAUUAACUUUACUCCGAAGAGAUUCCAAGACAUAAGCAUAAUUUUCUUGAAGAUAGAUGACAUGCAACAUCCAAUGAAAACUACAAUAAACAUCUUCAAUGUGAGUAUACAUUUAACCACAAUGAAAAAAAAAAAGUGUUCCUCUUAUUUAUUUACAUAGGAUUAUACGGAAUUAGAACUAUUUGUUCCAAGGUAGCCGCUUCUAACUGGUUGGCUAAAUUUUUGGUCAAAGAUCAUGAUCCUUGAUAUGUGACGUUAGUUUUUAUUGGCUGAUAACAAAAAACUUUCUUCCACGGUCACAUUUAUCCCAAAGAUUUCUAAGUAAAAGCAACCUUAGUUAAAAAAAGAACAAAAUAACUAUAGCGAUGGUAUUGGAUAUAAAGAUGAGUAAAAGAUGUUUACUUACGUAAUGUAUGCAUAUAUAACCUAUUUCAACCAUGCAACAGUAAUGUAGGAACUCCUCACAAGCUAAAUAAACAAAUUUUUUUACCAAAUAUUAGCUCAUUCAUUGGGAUAUGAACCAUAUCUACAUCCUUCAUAUUGUUCACGACAUGUCCAUUUAAGAGCUUAAUAGUUUCACUAACGUCUGUGUACUUUGAAGAAUACACAACAUCCUUCGGGGUUGAAUGCUCCUACCAUAACCAAAAUAAUAAAUUUAAAGUACAACCACAAAUAAUAUGAAAACUUAAAUAGUGAAAAAGAGACUUACUAGUUUGUCAUGAAUCACAUAAACAAGCUAACGAGGUCAUUCAAUAAUGUUACCCAACGUUUGAUUGAAAGUCUCUAUCUUGCCCUUCAUCGGAACAGGUAUACUAAAAUCUCCUUUAGUAAGCAAGUCCACCAAAACUUUAACAUUUGGACCGUCACUGUUAUCGUCAAAUAUGGUGGCUAUUGCAACGAUAUUAUUAAUUGAUCCUACAGCUAAUUUGCAUGGUGUUCCCUUUACAAGUAUUAAAAGUAUCGUUAAGAACAAUUGAUCUAUAUCAUUAAAAUUUUAAAAAUGACAACAAAGUUAAUUACCUUUACUCCUUCGUUGCUAGGUGUGUUGCCCAAAUCCUCAUCGACAAUAAGAUCUAUGUUAACACUUUCGAUGGACGAUCUCGAGCGACUAUGACUCUUCUUAUGACUUUUGCUUCUCGAGUCAUCUUCUUUACGACAUAUUUCAACUUCAGAACUUAUCAUUUUCUCUUUCCCUUUCACUAUUUUGAAAUAUUGUGAUUGAGAGACAAAACCACCCACACCUCUGACAUGUCCACCGUGCUCCUUGGAACCCAAUGCUUCAGUCAAUAUGUGCUCAUAUUUAUGUGUUGCGACUAAUGCAUCCUAUAAAACAAUACAAGUAUUUUCAUCACCAACUAAGUUAAUAAAAGAUUAUAUAUUUUAUAUAAGUAAAUCGUAAGUAAACUUACAAUCCGAGAGACAGUAGCAUUAUCAAAAUAACCAUUGUUCUUUCCUUUUCGGGCUUCUUUUCAAAGAGUUAACGAUAGGAAACAUCACGUGUUAUAUUAUGCAACCAAAGAUAUAUACUUAAUUAGUAUAAACAUAUUAAGAAAAAUUAUUUAAUUUAAUUAGAAAGACUCAUUAAUUCGUUGGCAAGAUUCGCAUAUCCCUUACGAGCAAAUUGAUGAUUGUAUAAACAUUUUAACCUUCUUUCCUUUUGAAUACAACUGUACUCCUGUACAAAGCAGUAGUUUGUAGUUACAUACCAAAACAAUAUUAAAGUUAACAUGUAAUUAAAUUUUUUUUACCUCCCAUUCUUCAGUUAGUCUAGCGUCCACAAAGGAUUCCCAAUCUUCUUGAUUAUAUGAGAAUAAAUUUUAAGAGGAAACUGUAGAUGUGAUGGUUGACGAUCCUUAAACAGUAGUAUAUACUUUCGAGUUAAUGAGGUCUUGAAAGUCUGAAACUUUCUUGAUGCAGACAUGAAGAUAGAAUGUUUGGCAUUAUGAUGUAACUCAAAUGACAUUUACACAAUAGAAAACAAAAGCAUAUUUAGACUUAGGGAAAUCAAACUACAUUGUAUAAAAAACGUAAAUAUAGAAUCCAUACUGAUAUACAAUCAUAGAUUUUAUCUUUCAACUCAUUCGGAACUUGUUUCCAAGAUUUGUAUGUGACAGAAAUCUGCUGCUGAAUGUACACACCAAUGUAACUUUGCAUUUUCUUAGAAGUUGCUCCUAUAGGUUUCCCGUGUUCAUUAAAUUGAACGGACAACUGUUGCCCAACAUUUCUUGUUGGUGCUAACUCUGACACAAUAGUUGGGCCACGUGGCACAUAUAAUCUGGUUCUUACUUCAGGAAUCAUUUGUCUUUCAUCCUCACUGCUAGAAUGUGAAUCCUCCAUCUAUAAAUUUACAAAAAAAAAACAUAUAUACAUUAGUAAGCAAAGUAAUGACAUAUCAUAAGCAUAGUAAUUACGAACUCUAAACAUAAAUCUAUUAUAAAAGAAAGUAAAUGACCUACCUUAAUAAAACAUUUAUCACAAUCAUUACUUAUCUACCCAUCUACCCUCAUAAUCAUGUCUAAUAUAUGAUGGAGUUGUAUCAUCAAUCUCGUUGGGUGUAUCAACAUUGGGCAUCCUUUGAAUGACUCCAUAACCACACUCUAGAAGCAUAUCUCCUAUUUCAUCUCCAAAGAAAUCUUCUUCAAUAGUUCUUUGUGGAGAUGUUAAAUCCGCUGACCAUUUAGGAUUUGAAGAAUCUUUCACAUAGAAUACUUGUUUUGCUUGGGAGGCUAAAAUAAAAGGGUUUGAUUUAUGUCAAAUACGUUUGAGAUCCACAAUGGUAAAUCCAAGCUCGUCCACUUUGACUCCAUUUUUAUUAUCAACCCAAUCACACUUAUAUAAAAUAAAAGAUAAUUGAUGGCAAUCAAUUUCCCAUAUAUCUUGUAUUAUGCCAUAAAAGGUCAUAUCUGACAUGACAUGGUUUUUGUCUUUAGAACUAGAGACUUGCAUCGUAGUGGUUGUUAUACUAACUCCACUAUUUUCGACCAUCACGCCCUUUUGUGUGAUUGUAAUAACCAUUGAUCAUGUAACCAGAUGGUUUGUAAAUAUUUUCAUUGCGAGGACUUAAUAGCUUUGUGCUGAGAGACCAUUAUAGCAAUACUUCACUAAGUCAGGUCACUGUGCAUAAUGCACUCGUCAUGACUUUUGAUAUUGCUUGCGUUUGAUCUCGUGUAAGCGAUGAUUCAUAGAUCGUGAUCAUAGCAUACAGAAUGCUCACUACGUACCUCUUCAUUUCAUAAUACUUAAGUCCUUGAUAAAUACAAGUUUUUCUACUAUUCACCCAAGUGCAAGCAAAUAAUAGAUUUAUCUGAGUGAUCUAGGGUCGAACACAGGAAAUUGUUUGAGAUGUUAGUUCGAUACUUUACUUUAGCAUUAAGACGUUAUGACAAUUAAGCUGAAAGAAUGUAAUGCUAAUUAUAACUAACUAUUUACAACUUAAGACUCACGCACAGAGAAUAAAUUAAGCUAGGGGAGAGUGAAAUGAUCUAACUUGUAUGCAAAUGAAGGUUGAAGGAUAUUCUACGCGCUAUCAAUUGCUUAGGAUUUGUGAUAACCUUAACACACUAUAAUUGCAUAAUGGAUACAUGAUUAAGGCGACCUUCUCUCGAAGUGUUUAAAUGCCACACUUUCUCGCGUUUUGGGACACAAAUGACUAUGCUUGCUUAAGCGAAUUAUACUUAGAGAACUUGACUCAUAAUACUUAUAGGACUUCUCGUUUAAGGACGAAAACCUCUCGGUGCCUAUUGUCCACACUUCUUUACCUUUCAGGAUGCAAAUGUUGGAAGCUACCUCUCUAGGAUGAAAUUUAUGUCCAAAUUCCUCCUAGCGUGCACUAGUCUUAUCCUUGCUACUCGCCCUCUAGGGUAGUUGGAGAUUAACACUGACCAAGUGAUGAAUAUAGCUCAGCUAAUGCGACAAGAACUAUAAGUUAAACUCUUUAUCAAGAACUUAUCACCCUUUUCUCAGUUAAUAACACGAAGAUGAGUGAGAUGUUAAAAAAUGGUAGAUUGAAAAAGGCAUAAACAUGCAAUAUAUAUAUAAAGAAUAUAGGUCUUCGACCACUGUACAAUAUGAACAAUACUAUGUACUAUUACAAGUUAAGAAAUAAACAACAAAUAAUCUUUCCUUUUAUCAUGAUUGUUUAAUCUUUGGGUGUUUUAUUUAAACUCUUUCUUUCUAAUGUGAUUUUCUCUGGUCACUUGAGUCUCUCUCUCUCUGGCCUCUUUAGGUUCCGAGCCUAUUCGAGCCACUCUCUCUAUUUUUUUGGUGUAAAUUCAGUGCUUAUUAUAUGCUGCUUUUUCGACAAGAAAACUCUAUUACUCUAAAUGUGUCAGAACCGUAAUCUGCCCCUAUAUAGUCGCAUCAUUCCAACUACCAUUUUCUUCGAGCUUUCCUUGCUUGAUUUUUAAGUUCAUCUUCUAGAGUUGUUAGUCACUUGACACGAUCUAUCGCCUUGUUUUUGCACGGGAUGUCUCGUACGAAUUGAUCCUUUUUUCUUUUUUCCACUUGUCCUGCACUUAGACAUGGUAAACGCGUAAAACAGGAACUACAUUUAUGUAAGCCUUAAUUCUAAGUAUUUAUGCUUUUACAACAUAAGUUAUGCGUUUUGAGCAUCCUUUAAGUGUUUUAAUUUCCAUUAUUCUACUAAAAAGGGUUAUAAUCUCGGUGAUUUAUGCUCGUUAUCAUCAUAGUACAUGGCCAAAUCAAGAGACGGUCCGUGAGCUAUCCAUUUUAAGGAAGGCGUGAUGGAAUUUUUUGGAACUUCGAGAGGAAGUGCAACAUACAAAAUAUAUUAGAUCUGAUUAGUUUAGAUCCAGAAUAAACAUGAACGUGUAUGGUUCUAGUGAUUACCCAUGUGGACAACCACCGACUGAAUGUGCGAUUAUGCUCUUCUUGAAUUUAUUUUUUAGUUUUAGAUUUACCAGAGUUAAGCUUACGCAAACUCUCCAAAUGUUUUCUGUCAUAAAUGAAAAAGUUAUUAGGUAAUUAAACAACCAACUUAUGUAAUAUGAGAAUAUAUAGGGUAGAACAUACUCAACGUGUGGUAGAACAUCAUUUAUAUUUUGAAUAAUGUAAAGAUGAGCUUGAUCUAAUUGCUCCUUACUCGGUCUGAUAAAAGAAGAAGCUGAUAAUGCUCUAUCCACAUUUGAAUAUGCUUUUAUUACAAAUGAGUUUAGUCCAACAGAACUAACUCCAGUCAUAAAUUCAGAACAUAACUCUAUAGCCUCUUCAGCGAUAUAAUUUUCUACCAUACAUCCUUCUGGGCUAUUUCUAUUUCACACACAAGUUUUCAGAACUUUCAUAUAUCGUUCAAAAGGAUACAUCUACCUUAGAUGAACAGGCCCAUAAAACUCAAUUUCUCUUAUGAGAUGCACUACAAGGUGUACCAUUAUAGUGAAAAUUGAUAGUGGAAAAUACUUCUCUAAUAGAUAUAGAGUUACAACUACAUCUUCUUGCAUUCUUUGUAGUUAUGAUGAAUCAAUUUUCUUCUUACAUAUAGCAUUAAAGAAGAAGCAUAGUCGGACAAUUACAAGUCUUACAUAUUUCGGUAAAAUACCAUGAAUUGCCACAGGUAGCAACUGUUGCAUAAGAACGUGAUGGUCAUGCGACAUAAGUCCUAGAGUUUCAAAUAUAUAAGUGACACUAUACUUUGAAUGUUCGAUGAAUAGCCUUCAGAUACUUUAAGUUCAGAUAGUGUCUUAAAAAAACUCAUUUUCUCCGCUCGAGAUAAUGUAUAACAUGCUGGGGGUAAAAAUAUUUUUUUCUCCCCUACUUAAGGGGCUAACUCUGAUCUAAUGUUCAGUUUCACCAAAUCUAAUCGACUCUUGAUUUCAUCUUUUGUUUUACUGAAAAUAUCAAGCAAUGUGUCAAUGAGAUUUGCAUACACAUUUUUUUUAUGUGCAUUAUCACAUCUAAACAAUGUCGCACAUCAAGGUACUUCCAAUAUUCUAAUUAAAAAAAAAAUAGACUUUUUCUUCCAAUAAGUACAUGAAGAACUAUUCUUUUCCUUGAUAGUUCUCUUACCAAAUGAAUGAUUAUACUUGUUUGUACAAGAAUUUCUUUCCCACUCAAUGGUUUUGGAGCAAAUCCUAAUUCUUGUGCACCAUUGAAAACUUUCUUUUAUCUCCUAUAUGAAUGAUGACAUGGUAGAAACUUGCGAUGUCUAAUAUACUCAUCUUUCUUUCUUUUGGCAAAUAAACGGAUGAAGUAUUCUCUCCAAAAAUUAGACAUGCAUGAUAUCCUUUGACCGUACAACCACACAAGUUACCAUACGCAGGAAAAUCAUUAAUGGUCCAUAAUAAAAUAGUUUUGAGCACGAAACAUUGAUCUUGAUAUGCAUUGUAACAUUCCACCCCAUCAUGCCAAAGUUUUUUUCAAAUCAUCAACUAACAGAGUUAAAUAAAUAUCUAUUUCAUGUUCCAAUUGUUUGGGACCAGAUAUCAGUGCAGUGAACAUAAAAAAAUCGAUUCAUACACUCAUGGAGGUAAGUUGUAUGUCACUGACAUCACUGGCCAAGAACUAUAUCUACUGCUGAGAUCUCCCUGCGAAUUUUGACCCAGGAAAGAGCAAAACGCAUAUUUCUAGGUUUUAACUCAAACUCUGGCCAGUAAUUGUUUAUUUUUUUCCAUAAUAAUACAUCUUUUGGAUGUUAUAAUAAACCAUUCACUUCUUUGUUUUUUUUUUGGUAUGCCAUGUCAAUAAUCUUGAUGUUACUUUGCUUCGAAACAUUCUUUCAAACCUUGGAAUUGAAGAGAAAUACCAUACAACUUUCACUGGAACAUUCUUAACUUCCUUCUUUGAAUUUUUAGGAAUCUUCCAUCUUGACAUAUCAUAAGAGGGGCAUACAUUUGCAGAGAGUUCUUUCCUAAACAAGCAACAAUGAUUCCUACAUACAUGAAUAUUUUCGUACUUCAUUCCAUGAGUACACAAAAUAUUUUUUGUUUCAUAAGUAGACGUAGGGAUUUCAUUAGGAGUAAGUAAGAUGUCACAAAUUAAUUCUAGCAAUUCAGUGAAACUCUUAUCACUCCAUCCAAAUUUAGCUUUCAAAUUAUAUAACUUUAUUAAUGUAGAUAUUUUGAUAAAAUUUUUACAAUUAGGAUAUAAUGGUUUCUUGGUAUCAUCUAGUAGUUCCUCAAAAUUUUCUAGCUUGUCCUUGAAAUAAUUGGGUGCAACCUCAAACAUUCCGAUUGUGUCAUCAAUAUCAUCCUCAUCAAUUUCUUCUUUUUCACUACUAAAGACAAUUUCAUUGUUUCUCUUAAUUGAUAGUGAUUCACCAUGAAAAAUUCAUACUUGAUAACUCUGAUUGAUGCCAUUAAAAAGUAAGCGAUCUCUAAUUGUAUUCACAUCUAAAGUCUUUGCAUUUACGCACUUUAAACAAUGACAAGUCAUGACGUUCGAUGUCUUCGAAUGUUUCGAUCCAUUUUUAAUAAACAUCUCAACCCCAAAAGUAUAAUCAGUUGACAUUCUAUUCUUUUUCACCCACGACUUAUCCAUAUUAUAUAAGAUGCAACUUAGUCUUUAAAAAAAAGUAAAAAAAAAAAAAAAAAACAUAAUUAAGUAAUCUUAAACUUGUGAACUUAACUAUAAUUUACCAUAAUACUUAAAAUCUCAAAUUAAAACCAACAAGUUCUAUAUACACCCAACCAACCAAAAAGUUCUAUGUACACUCAAACAGCUACAAAACUCACAAUCAUAUCAAUCAAGUAACAAACAAAUAUAAAAUUAAAAUCAUCCACAAAGACCAAACACAAACUUCUGACCACCAUUACGACAUAAAUUCUAAAUGAAGGAAGUGAAACAAGACUUUAGAGAUUUCUUAUGACAUAUAAUUCCAAACUUACUUAUUAGAGAAAGAAAAACUUACUUGUUUAUGUCUCUUAAUGUAAAUCUUCAAAUUAGGACACCACUCGUCGAAGACCUUCCUAUCCUCUAAGAUGAGAUUGGGAUGGGAAAAAUGCUUAGAGAGAAACUAUUUUUUUUUCAGAGAGUAAAAACAUUAACUUUUUUUUUAAUUAAUUGAUUAAAGAAAACUGUUUUCUUCUAUAUAUUUAUAACUUUUUUUCCUUCUUGGAGUACGAAAGAGAGUAGCAGAGAUUCAUUGGAUUCUAUUAAUUUAAAAAAUAUUAAAUUAAUUAAUCAGUAAUCAAUUAGUUAAUAAUUAGCUAAAUUAAAUAUCUUAUAUUUAACUUAAAUUAAAUUCAAAUCAUAUUCAAAUAUAAGUUUCUCUUAUAACCAACAAUUUUAAUUUGAAUCAAAUUCACAUUAAAUUAAUAUUUGGACUCAUUCAAGUAUUUUAUCUCUCAUAAACUAAUUUUGAAACAUAUACAAAAUUAAAUUUAUAUCAUAAAGUUUUGUAUAUAUUAAAUUUAUAUCAUAAAGUUUGAUAAACUUUAUAUUAUAAUGUAUCACUAUACAUUAAACUAAUUUCCAAAGUAAUUUUGAACAUUUCAAAUUACAACCAAUAUAAAUAAAUCACACUACCCUUUACAAGCUAGGAAGGGGACCUGAUGGACCUACAAAUCAGAAGCUACAACGAUCUGAGACACAUUAACCACAUUAAUCAAUAUUUGUUAAUUGUGUGUACACUCCACUAAAGACCUCUUUUCUCUUAGCGAAGGUGAAGUACUUUUGUACGCAGCUUUGGACGAAAAAGUUCUAUUCUUUUGAGAUUGUCAGCGUUGAUUUCAAUCUUAUAAAGUCACAUCACUCCAACUAUCCUUCUUGUCUUCUAGUGAGCUUUCCUCAUGUAAUGACGUGGUUUCUCAUUUGAAUAUGUUACCUGCUAGGCGAGUUCCCAUCGCGUUGCUUGUGCGCGAAAUGUCCUCAGUGAUUUGCUCAUUUCUUCUUGUUUACUUAUCCUGUGUUUGAACAUGAAAAUCAAGUAAACACAGGCAUAAAUUUACUUGCUCUUGUUUGGUUUGGAAAUCACUUGAAGAAUUAAGUGAAACUGGCGCACAACAUGAAGAAUCAAGUCAUCCAAAGGAAUUUUGUACAAUUUGGUAAGAUAAUUUCUUACCAUUUUAGCCUCGUACUAUUGGUUGUGCUACGCAUGUACGACAUGUUGUUGAAAAAACCACAACCAGUAAUAAAUGCAUGCACAAAUUCAAGUUGGAAGUGCUUUGAGGUUGGCUUCUUAAAAUAUACUUCGUGCUUCACAUAUCACAAAGUCCUACUGCUGAUCCACAAUUUUUUUAACACUGCAGAAUUUCCUUGGGGCAUUGAAUGAGACUUACAUAAAGGUGAACGUGAUGAUAAUUGAUCGACUGAGGUAUAGAACACGAAAGGGGGAAGUUGUCAUAAACUUCCUCGAAGUAUGUGAUACGAAAGGAGAUUUCGUAUACGUCUUAGCUGGCUGGAAAGAAUCUGCAGUUGACUCCUGCAUUCUUCGAGAUGCUAUUUUAGAACUGAAUUGACUGAAGGUUUCGAAGGGUAACUGCGUUUUUGUUCUUCUUCUUCGAUCAAUUUGUAGGUAAAAGCUCAAUGUCUGAGUAGAGAAUGGUCCAUUUUCCAUUCCACCUAACUUGUGAUGUUCAUUUCUAUACUUUUCAUUUUUAUAUUUUUUUUAUAAUGUAUUUUUGUCCAUAUUGUAUAGUGACCUAAUACCUACAUUCUUUAAUAUAUUGUAUAUUUAUACAUUUCCAAUCCAUCAUGUCGUUACUAUUCAUAUGUCAAUGUGUUAUUCAAAGUUUCGGUCUGUGAUAAGUUCUUGAUAAGAAGAUUAGCUUAUAACUCUUAUCGUGUUAGUUGAGCACCUAUAGUCAUAACUUGGCUAAUGUUUAUCGCCGACUACUCAAGAGAACAAAUAACAAAGAAAUGGCUAACUUGUGCAAGAAAGAGUAUUUGAAAACAAACUUCAUCUUAGUGAGAUAAACUUUCAUCAUUUGUGUCCCAAAAGGAGAACAAGUGUGGGUGCUUGAAGCUGAGAGGUUGUCACCUUAAAAGAGAAGCUCUAUAAGUUUUGUAAGUAAAAUUUUCUAGAUAUAUCUUGCUUAAUUAAACUUAGUCAUUUGCAUCCCGAAAGGCGAGCAAGUAUAGCGUUUAAAGAUACCAAGAGGUGCUCACGUUAAUCAUAAGUUAGUUAACUAAGAUAUGUCGCAUUAUAGUUAAUAAUAACUUAAUUGCCUAAUAGUGCAGAGACUUUCCUUCACUCUUUCUUUACACAAGUUAGUUCACACCUCCAUUUCACCUUCAUCUUAAUUCCCCUUUAGAAAUUCUCUAAUAUAGAUAAAUGGAUAUAGUAUAAACCUACACUUUGUCAUAUUAUAUAGAUAAUUCUUUUAUAUUGCCCGUAAUGAAGAGUAAACUCUAAAACUAAGAUUUGAUAUCAAUUUUCUGUGUUCAACCUUAGAUUACACAUGAAACGUAUUGUUUCCCUUACACUUGGGCAAACAAUAAGAAAACAUGUACUCAACAAAGACUUAGUAAUUACGUGAAGAUGUGAUACACAUAGUGAGCAUCUAGCAUGCAAUGACUAUGGUCAAUGACUCAUCACCUAGAAUUAGAUACAAACACUACUGCAAACAACAUUGAGUCAUGGAAUCGCAAAACCAACAACAAGUUUUUGGCAAAACGAAUUCAAACAAGCAAAUUGUCUGUUGGCUUUCUACAGAAUCGUUUAGAUUUGACUAUAUAUUCUUUCCUACACGAUCGUUUAGAUUUGGUAAACGAUAUUUUUACCAAAUUUAAAUAAUUUUUUUACCUAGAUCUAAAUCGCUUUUUUUUACCUAAAUCUAAACAAUUCUUUUUCAAGAUUCUUUUGUACAUGAUCGUUUAGAUUUGGCUAUUCUUUUCUACACGAUCAUUUAAAUUUAAUGAUUUAAAUUUGGGUAGCCAAAUCUAAACGAUUUUCUUUUCAAGAAUUUUUUGGUACACAUUAAUUUAGAUUUGGUACAUGAUCGUUUAAAUUUAAGUAGCCAAAUCUAAACAAUAUUUUUCAAAAAUGUUUGGUACACGAUCAUUUAGAUUUGAUCAUUUAAAUUUGGGUAGUCAAAUCUCAACAAUUGUUUUCAAGAUUUUUUGAUACAAGAUCGUUUAUAUUUGGUACACGAUCAUUUAAAUUUGUACCUAAAUUUAAAUGAUUUUUUAAAGAUUCUUUGGUACACGAUCGUUUAGAUUUGACUAUUUUUUUAUACACCAAGUUUAGAUUUGACUAUCCAAUAUCCCAACAAAUUUUUUUCAUAAUAUUUUAUAUUUGACAUUUCCAUCGAAAACUGACAAAGAAAUAUCCUCGAUUGAGAUUUCGAUUCAUGUGUACAAUGAAGACAAAGGAAAAAUCGGACAAGAGAAAAUGGAUAAGACAAAUAAACAAAUUGACUUCUAAGUAAUGAGAAACAAGAAAACAAAAAUAAUGAAAAAUAAAAAAGAUGCUCAAUUAACACCUUUUGUAAGCACAACUUAUAUUUACAACUUUUACUUGAAUAGGAUUUGUUUAUGUUGUACUAGUGUGUCCUUGAAUUCUAAAAAUAUAGCAACCCAUGUUCACUAAGGAAAACAAAAACACAUAAAUACAUCAAAAUAUCAGUAAGUUGAGUCACAAUCAAAAAUACAUUUGAAAAAUAGAAACUCUAAGUUGAAGAGAAAGAUCAAUUUCUUUAAGAGAGAAGAAAAAUACCUCACAGUGGCCAUGAGCUGUAGAGUAAUGGCCAUUUUGAUAGGUUUGUUUGAUUAUGGAUAUUGAAGUAGAAUGUAAGUUAAAUUUCAUCAACCCAACAUCAUAAACAAAAAUAUAUCAAUAUAGUAAACAAAAUACCUUUCGUUUAAUGGAUACAUGAAAGAUGACUCCACCCUGUAAAAAAAUGUGUACAGGAAAAAAAUUGCAUGAUAUAAAAAUUGAAUGCAAAAAAUAUAUGGACAAACCAUGGAAAACAAAAGAGAAUUUUCGAACGAGAACCGAUACAACCUAAAGUAAAGUAGUAAGAAAACAACGCAUCAAUUUUUAACAAGAGGCGUUUUGGAUGAAUUCUUAUGAUUUCUACUUUCUUUUUCGGAUUGUUUUUCAUCAUCUGAAUUUAAUUCCUCAUCAAUUGGAAAGCCUCUAAACCCAGAAAAAGGGUCAACAAAAUAUUUAUAUAUAUAUAAAAAAAAAAACUCAUCCCUUCCUGCUCUGCUCCUUCUAUUAGUCAAUCUAGCCACUAGAACAAAUCACCCUAAAUUGGAUUUUGAAAUGAAAUUACCCGAUCUCCAUCAAGGGGGGUUUCACCCUAGCCAAUGCGAAGCUCCAAUGCCUUGACGCCAGCCGAGUUCGAGAGGUCGAAGAAAUCCGAUGGACGGAUUUGGAAGGAGCGACAAUAAGAGAGCAGAGAUGGAGAUGACGAUUGAGAGGAACCAAAAGAGAGAUGGAGAUGAAAAUUGAGAGUGUAGCAGAGAUGGAGAUGGCGAUUGAGAGGAACCAAAAGAGAGAUGGAGAUGAAAAUUGAGAGUGUAGCCGAGAGAGAUGGAGAUGCGAAUUGAAAAGGCAACGACUGAGACGGCGAUUGAGAGUGCAGCGGCUGAGACGACAAGUUCUGCAUCUUCGUGCGUUUUGAUUAAGGGAAGGAACGUGUUUUCAUCCUAGGGUUUUAGAAAAGAGAAAACGGACUUAAUUGAAACGACGUCAUUUUAGUACUAAAUUUCUUGACGUUUUUAAAAACGUCAAGGAUUUUUUUUAUAAAUUUCUUGACAUUUUUCAAAACGUCAAGGAUUUUUUUAUAAAUUUCUUGACGUUUUUAAAACGUCGAGUAAAAUUUUAAAUUCUUGACGUUUAAGAAACAUCAAGCAUGUCGAAUUUAUACGCUUCUUGACGUUUUAAGAACGUCAAAAAAUUAAUAGAUAUUUCUUGAUGUUUUAAAAACGUCAAGAAAAAAAUUAUUUCUUCUUGACGUUUAAUAAACGUCAAGAAUGAUGUUUCAGAAAAAUUCUUGACGUUUUUUUAUUAAAAAUGAAAUCUUUUUUGACGUUUUUUGAAAAAAAUGUCAAGAAAGGAAAACAACAACCGUCAAGAAAGCCCAUUUUUCUAGUAGUGCGAUCUUAAACAACCAAAUAAAAGUUUGAAAAAAUAAUACAGAAAAAUGAGAGAAAAAAACGAUGGAAAGAAAAUAAAAUCACAUAAGAGGGAAGAGAAGAAAGACAAUGAAAAAGAAUCAUGAACUUUUUCAUUUUAUCAUAUGAAAGGUAAAUAUUUUGCCAACUUAUUAUAUUUUUGCCAAUCUUACUAUAUUUAAAAAUAAUUUCAAUUUUUUUUUUUAAACAAUUACUCAAGUCUAUAAUUAAGAAGAGAACAAAAAUGACAUAAAGAAAUUUUUUAAAAAAAAAUAGAAAAGUAGUUUGGGUUUAGGGUUAUAUUUAUAUAUAAAUGUAGAAUUAGUGUUGAGUGCUCAUCCAUCUAAUAUCCUUUAUGGUUACAUUGUGACCACACCAAAAGCAACCCCACAAUUUUAUUUAUUUAUUUUCAUUCUCAACUAUUCUUCUCUCUCUCCAAACACACACACUCUCUCUCUCUCUCUUCUUUUGCCAUUUUUGUUGUGAAAUUUUGCAGGUUAGGUUAUUGUGUGAAGGGAAAAAGGUAAGGUAAGGAUGAUGUUGAGGGUAGUAGUGAACUUGAAAGCAAAAAUAAUGAAGUCAUUGAAGAUGAAGAUGAAGAUGAAAGCAACAAAUUACGAUGCAGAUUAUGAUAAGAUGGAGAAAAGUGAAAGCAUGAGAGUUGAAAUCAGAAGCAGAAAAGCCCAGAAGCUCAUCCAACAGUCCUUGAAAUUUGCUGACUCUCCCUCUUCUAAAACUUAUGCCUUUUGAUUUCUUAUAUAAAUAUCAAUUUUCUUCUCUUAUAUCUCAAUCAAUCCCACCCCCUGCCCUUAAUUUCAUCUAUACCCUUCCCCUCCCUCCCUUCCUUCCUUCAUCACUACAUAAUUAUAUAUGAACAAAAGUAUCUAAUAAUAAAAUAAAAUAACUCACUUUUCCUUAUUCUCUUCUCUUCUUCUUCUUCUUCUUCUUCUUCUCAUCCUCUUUUUCUUUUUUCUAUCGUGGCUGAAACCAUUAAAUUUAUAAUACAUAUUUAUUUCUAUAUAUGAUGAGACUAUGUGUUUUUAUUAUUUUGUUACUUAAAUUAAUGCAAACAAACAUUUAUAGUUGUUUCUUUAUAUUAAUUAACCAUAUGGACAAAAUAUGUGUAUUUUAUUACUCUAUCUAUUUUUCUUAAUUUGAUGAGGGGACAAAUUAGAAAUUAAUGAAAUGUAGUUAAACAUUCUUUCUACCAUUUUUAGUUGGUUAAUUAUAAGAAAAAUUAUGGCCACCACAAUAAAAACAUAGAUUUUCAAAUUGGUUUGUUUUAGAACAAUUUUUUCUUCAAAGGAAGAGAUACUAAGAGAAAAUAUAUGAGAAGAAAAGCAUGAUCUAUCUAAUUAAAUUUGGAACAUAUCAUCUACCUAUUAUUUAAUCAUCUUUUGCAAUCAAUAUAGAUAUUACAUAUACAACUGCUAAGUUUUUUUUUUUUUUCUUUUUUAAAGUUAAAGUUAGGGAAAUGAUAAAUUAAGGAGAUAUAUAUAUAUAUAUAUAUGGUAUGUUAGGAAUGUGUGGUAUAUAAUCAAAAAAGUUUUAUCCAUGAUUUUUGUAUAGGGAAGCAAAAUGAUGUGGAAACAUAUAAAAGAAUAUGGUUGGUAGAAGAAAACUUAUCUCAUCAAAAUUUAAUGGUGUGAUGAAAAUGACAACUUUUAUUUUCUUUUCAGUGGGAUAUUCAAAUCUAUUUAUAUCAUCUUUUGCAUGGCACCCAAAUGAAAGUGCUUCUUCAUUAUUGUAGAGAAGAUAUAAGCUAUACCAUUUGAGCCAAUAGUGUAUAGAACAAAGUGGAUUUUACUUUCUUUUUCAUUAGUCAAACAACUAGCAGCUUGAUUUUCAAAGUGGUGCAAUAUUAUUUUAGUUUAUAUAAUAAUGUAAUGCUUUCAAAUAUUGUUUGCCUUUGUUUAUGUUAAUUAUCAAUUUCAAUUAUCUAACUUAUGCUAUGCCUUCAAUUAAUUUUAAAUUUUCUUCUAAUUCAUUUUACCUUAAUGUUUAUCAAAAUCAACUUAACAAUAAUAGUAAUAUUUUAAAUGAAGUGUUCAUAAAUAUAAUCAACAUUUUAGACCAAGAUUAUUAUUUGAAAUCUUAGAAUGAAUAAUGUGGUUUGAGUGUCGUCAAAAGUUGGUGAGCAUGUAAUUUCAUAGUUUAAAGAGAAAAAUAUGAGUGAACAAGUAUCACGUUUGAAUUAAAGGAAUUUAAUGGACAUGAAAGUUAAAAUGAUUACUAGCUAUAAUCUACUACCAACGAUGUUACGUUUUCAUUUUAGUAAGUCAAUAUCAUAGGAAGGCUAAGAUGAAGUGUGUUUGACACGGAAUAAUCUUAGUUGGACGAAGUGUGUAAAUAUACACAUUGAAAGGACAUUUUGGUGGGUGGAAAAGUGUUCAGUCGUAUAGAGAGAAGACUGUAAAAAGUAAAAAGAAAUGAGAGGACAUUGUGGACUUCUCAAGAAAUUUACCAAGAGAUCUUUAACCACACCAUAGAGAUCAAUCAAAGUUUUAUAACCAUCAAGAAUAAAUUUAGACAAAACUAAAUGGGCAUCAAUGUAACAAUCAACUCAUCACAAUGUAAAAAGAGAUUAUAAAUAUCACAAUCAAGGAAGAUAUAUUUUUCUUGUUUACUUGGUAGGACUAACCAACUUUACUAUUAAAAGAACAAUGUUUCUUUUGUAUACAUGAAAUUAGUUGGCUUUUUAUUGCCCAUGAUGACAUAUGUAUAUACACACACCCUAUCAUAUUUUUAUUUAUUUGAAUUCACUUAUCAUGUGAGUACUGUCAAGAAUUUGUAAAUGUACAUUGUUAAAUGAUUGGGAAAAAAUACAAAGUAAAAACAAACAAAAAUAUAAAUAACAACUAACAAAAGAAUAUCUAUGAAAAAUGGAGUUUUUCUUUGACACUGUUUUAGCUAGAAUUUUUUUGAAAGAAUUGAAUGUUGAAUUUUUGAAGAAAUGUGGUGGAGUUCCAUUAGCUGUUAAGAUGACGAGGAAGGUUCAACUAAAAGACAUCAUGAUAGAGGUAAAAUACAAAGCACGAUUGGAAGAAAAAUAGAUAUAAAAUUCAUGAAAAAGUAAGAAUUAAAAGCUUUGAUUUCUCUUUUGUUUACAUAUGUUAGUGCAAAAAAUGUAGUGCAUUCGCUUGUUGCUCAUUACCAAAAAGAAAGAAGAAAUAAAAAGAAAAAGAAAACAAAUAAUAAAUUUUUAAAAUGUUAGAGACGUGUUGAAAUAGAGUAUUGAAUUUUAAGAUUUAUUGACAAAAUUGGUUAAACGUAAACAUAUAAAAGUACAUAAAAACUGUGAAAGCUUAUGCAAUUUGAGAAGGGAUUCGACUCUAGGAGAAUAGAGAUCGAGGAACGUCAUCUUUUAUAUGAUUCUUAGAUUUAUGGUGCAUAUUGUCACGUUCCGGCGAAAAUGAUUCCAAAAUUUGUGCCAAAAUGAUGUCCAAGGCUCUUUUAACAACCAAGAAGGAGCCCAACUUACCCAUUUGACAAACCAGUGCAGCUAGGACACACGCACAUGACACUAAUGUGUGCCCAUCCAAGGUAGUCAAGCCUCGCACGUACCAAGACAGAUGCUCAUGACAGCCUAAUGUGCGUGUGCAGAUGCCACAGCCCCAUAGGCAAAACUCAGAUGCCAAUGAGCUCAUGGCACCAACACUAAGCACACAGCUCAUGCACACAAGCGUUGUGCAUAUGGACAAGUGGCAGCCCAAGCAUGCACGCAUACAUGUGCAUGCCCCAGACGGUCACCCUUGCUCGCAAACGCAUGGCGUGUGCGCCCCACACUAGCCUGCAACAUGUGCACUGCAUCGUGCAAACUCGCAGUUCGGUUUGAUUUGAUUUAAAGCUGAAACUACGCCUAAUCGCAAAAUGCAAAAGAAAUCUCAUCUGAAAUCGAACCAAAUCGCUCAUCUGGGUCAAAUUGAAUUAAAAUUGAAUCGCAUAUGCAAUUCAAUUUUGAUUCGAUUUUAAAUUAUCUUAUACCAUUGGCAUAUGUGCCUACAACCUCCUACACUAUCGUUUAUCAUUCUAUACAAUCGUUCAACCUCUUACACUUACACGAUCCUUUAGCUUUCUAUACAACCGUUCAACCUCUUACACAAUCAUUUAGCUUUCUAUACGAUUGUUUACCCUCUUACACAAUCAUUUAACUUUCAAACGAACAAUCGUAAUUAUUUGCCCUUUUACACGAUCAUUUAGCUUUCUUACACAAUCAUUUAGCAUUCUAUACGAUCUUUUAGCUUUCAAACGAUGAUUCAACUUUCUAUACGAUCAUUUACCCUUUUACAGUUUCGUUCGAUUUUAGAAUCGGUUUAAUGUCUUAAACCGAACCAACCACAUAAGAAUCGAUUUCAAUUUAAAUGAAACUGCAUGCAUUCGGUUUCAAUUAUGUUUUGGUUUGGUUGUGGUUCGGUUUGCGAUUCGAUUCAGUUUUCAACUAUUUUUUGAACAUCCAUAGAGUAUACACGCAACACACAACCCUUAUGCAAGCCUCAGACUUGACAUACGUGCCACACUACACAUACUCGCAACGCUUGCCCCUCAUAUGUGUCGCCCCGCACGGCACCAUGCGCCCAACCUAGAGCACCCACGCCUUAGGCGUGCGCCCCUCAUGCAAGCCACAUCGCGCAUACUCAUAGCGGAUGCCCUUCAUGCACUCCUUAGACUUGGCAUGUGUGUCACCUUGCACAUACACACAACUCAGCACUCAGCCCAACGCACCCAAACCUCAGGUGCGCGCAAUACCUUGUGCGUGCGCCCAUGUUCCAAAUACCCCUAAAAGCAUCUACAAACCUCUUGAAGCUUCCAAAAGGGGUUAAACACGUUCAUGGUCGUGUUGCAUCACCCACCCAAGGCCUAGACAACCCUAGAAGGCUUGAAAUGGUGCCAGAGCAUUCUAAAAGUGUCUAGAUCACCUAAGAAGGCCUUGAAACAUACUGGAGGAUGCUAGGGAAUGUUGAAAUAUUUCAUGACCGUACUUUUAAUAAAAUCAUGGUGGAAUGUACAAGAAAGAUCUAGAGAAGUCUAUGGCCGACCUUCUAAGGCCCUAAGGUCAGUUGUCAUGUCUAUAUAUAUUUCAAAGGCGGCUCAUUUGUACAACUCUAAGAACUCACUUGGUUGUAAUUCAAACAACUCCAAGAAGAGUUAACCCAAGCUCUUUCAUUCUCUCAAACCUCUUUUGCCUACACCACAAUUUUUCUAUUGUCAUACUCAUCACAAGUGCUUUGUACUCUAACCUUUAAAUGCUUACUUGGCUUCUUUGACAUCAAGAUUGUCCAAGAGCCGCACGUUUAGGUAGUUGAAAACUCUAACCACGUGACAAUAUGCUAUAUAACUAGCUUGAUGAUUUCUGUAAAGUGGAUUCAAUUGUUAGACAUAUAGAAUUUAGACAUACAUUUUGUGAUUAAAAUAAAAUUGAACAAAUAGAUGGAAAGACCAAUUUUGUAAUUUUAUUAAGGUAAAAUUAAAUCGAUAAUAAAAUUAUUGUACUUAAAAAAAAUUUCCAUCACAAGUUCUAUAUAUCAUCAUGAAAUAUUACAUCUUCUUACACAAAACUUAACCCAAAAAAAUUAAAAACAAUAAAUAUUAUGUAGAAAAACACUUUUUUUUUUUUACGUUCACAUAUUUAAUUAAUUUGUAACUAACAAAGUUAGGUUCAUUUGAUCAUGUUUAAGCACUUUGCCUUUAGUUAAUUAUAAUAAUAAAGUUCUGUAUUUCUCAUGAAAAGAGAAUAAUAAGGUUGAUGACUGGAUAUUGUUUGGACAUGAUUGUGCAUAUUUGGUGGAUGUCAUCUUUAUAACUUUUAAACAGCCUUUACUUUCAUUAAUUAAGAUUUCUCCCAAAAAGAAAAUCCACCUUUACUUUUAUGCUCUCAGUCCUUCCCCAUUCCUUUUCUUUUUUUUUUGUGGAAUUCAUCAAAGUUUUACAUUUAAACUAUUCUUUGAAAUCCCCUUUUUGUUGCUUUUCUGUUCAUUAGAUAUUCUAUUUUAAUAGGCAACAAGAUUCAUCCGUACUCAAACAUUGUUACACGAUAAAAUAAUUGACAGUCUUCACAAAUCUAUGUUAGCAUUUCUCUGAUAAAAAAGACAAUAAACAGCCAAAAUGUUACAACAAUACAAUCAUUCUGAAUAGUAAAUUGGUUCUUUGAAAAUUUACAGAUUCUAUUUCUUAAGAAUGUUUCACCAUCCAGUAGAAGGAUUGAUCUUGGUUCUUAAACUUCAACGCAUUAAUACAUUUAUGUUAUGUUUGAUAUAUAUUUUUAAGUGUUUAAUUUUAAUAAGUCAUUUUGAAUAAAUUUGGAGUGUUUAACAUUCAAAAUAACUUUUGAAACGUACUUUAAACAAUUUUGAAUUGAAAUGAUUUUUUUUUUAAAAAAAAAAACACUUUCUUCCCUGGACAAUCCAAAAGAUCCUUUGGAUCCACAUGAACAGUAUUACUUUGAAUAAGAACAAAAUUAAUUGUUUAAGAGAAAAAAUUCUAAAAAAAUAGGCAUCUUAAGAACAAAUGCAUUAAUCAAGAAAUAAGUUGGAAAUAUUUCACAUGAACAGCUAGAAAAAAGUGUCAAUUAUUUCAACAUACUAAUAAUCUGCUUUAUGCACGUAAUGAUUUCCAAAAAGAUGUACGGAUGGCUUUUCUUUUCUUUUCCUCCUUCCUAAUAUCUUCUUUCGGUUAAAUGCAGAAGAAAUCAAACAAGACAUUCAAAAACAACAUCAUAACAAGCCAAACAAAUUGAAACUUUUCAAAAUAAUUACAAUAUUCAGUGUUGAGCACAACCUUAGCAUUGAAGGAUUUGUGGGAGGCAGGUUGGCUUUUAUUUGCUUCAAAAUCUUCAGCCAACUUCAAAUUUUUUUUUGUAAAGGCAUUGUAAUAAAUGCUGGAGUGGGAAUUUGAAUUUGAAACCUCUUGUCCACAGGAACAUAUAGGUGUCAGUUGAGCUAAACUCAUGUUGGCCACCCAACUUCAAUUUCUCUAUGAAAUCACCUAAAACAAAAUCACUAUCAAUCAUUGUAAAGCUUCAACAUAGGAUUUUAUAAACUAUCUUUCUAAUGGGGUAUUCUGCAGUUAAGUAGACUCUUGGACAAGUCCCAGCCUACGUGUUUGGCUUCUAAUACAAGGAGAAUGGUAGCAGUACGUUUUUGCACAGCACAUGAAUUUUAAGUCAAUGCUUCUCAGAAUAAUGUCCUGAUUACAUUAUUAGGUUUGCACAACAUUUUGUGUGUAUAACUCUAUGUGUUUCUUAUUUUAAUUAAUUCUUUUAAAAACUCUAUUCAUCUACUUUCUAUUUUAGACUUUUAAAACACCUCAAUUUUAGUUGAAACUUUCUUUUCGUUACACAUGUGAUCCAAACACAAAAGUACUGAAGUAGAUAAUUAUUUAUUUUAAAACAAUUAAAAAAUAAGAUAAAAAUGACUUAAAUAAUGGUAAAGUUUGUCAGAGUAUUAGUAUGCCAUAUUCGUUCAUAAAAGAAAAAUGUUUUCUUAUACCCUAAGUAUUGGUAUUGGGACCCAUCAUCACUAAUCCUAGAGAACCUUUCGGCGGUCCCAAGGUCCAAAUGAGAGCAUUAAGAGGUUUUUUCUCAUUAAGCUCACUCAAAGGUUUAAACAUGUGGCUUUUGACAAGAUAUUACCAAGAAACAGUGUGUCUUUGCCGACGGGGUCACCCCGUUGGGACCAAAAAUACAAUGAAAAUAGAAAAAUAUAUAAAUGAAUCACAUCAUAGAAAAGGUAGGAUAUAUUUAUUAGGGUGGGCACAAUUUUUCAUUUACUUUUAGAAAAAUAAAUGCAACCAAGUAUGAAAUUAAUGGAAGUAAGAAAGCAAAAUGUCAAAGGACCAAAAUAAAAGGGUUAAGAAAUCAAAAAACGUCUAAAGGUUUUUUCUUAAAAAAAAAAAAAGUUAACAAGGUACAAAUUGGAUCUUGAUAAGUUGCUCGCUAUUUGUUUGUGCUCAUAACAGCGUGAUAGAACUCGGAUUAUCUAUUCACUAUUUAAGCCAAAAUGCCAAGGAAGUCGAGGCUCCCUCCUUUCAACAUGCUCACAGGGCUACACUUCACAGAAUGCAAAAAGAUAAUUAAAAGACUUACCCAGAGGCAAUCUAAAUAGCCCAAUCCUAACUAACCCUAUAUCCCUGUAGAGCCCACUGUAACUUCUUUUACUCCAUAACUAACCGUUUUCCCUUUAACAAUUAUUUACAGUUAUCUCCCUUCCUCUCUUUUUUCUCAUACACCUCCUAAGGAUCGAGGGUCUAUCACAAUGCUAGUCUUUAAUCCAAUUUCUCAAAAGCAAAAUCCACCAAUACCCAACUCAGAUGAAUUUCGAAAAGUAUACGGAACAAUAUGACAAUCAAAAGUGGGGGCAAGUUACCUGAUCUAACAAGAUGACAAAUUAAUGGCUUCGAUGGUACAGUGUCUGCAGAUCCUUGCAGUGAAUACAAGUCCAUGGUAACAACGGUGGGUCCAGACAAUAUGAAUGAAUUUGUCGAAUUUGACAAAGAUGGCAGCUCAUGAGGAGGUCCUCUGGUUCCCGACAACGGCAUGCACUACAAACAGCUGCUACUGAGGGCUGUUAAUUAUAACUAUCGAGAAUUAGUUGUCUGUUCAGAUGGACCAUUUUAACCAUAGUAAAUAAGAAUGUCACCAGAAAAAUCAUUGAGUAUUAGCAGAGAAGAGCUACAAAUGGAAUUCUUGAAAAUGAGUACUAGCUUUGCAUCAACACCCCCCCCCCCCCCCCCCCCCCCCCCCCACACACACACACACACACCCGAACAACAAAGCAACGACAUUGAGCAUUAUAAUAUGACCUGAACAACGUUGUUAAGAGUUCUUUCAUCAGAUAGAAGGUAAAUAUCCAAUAAUGAUGAUCCACAUGGAAUGGUUUGGGAGUAUAUCUUCUGAUCCGAGGUGGCCGCAUAUUCAACCUUUGUGAUGCUCAGAAAACUGGCUUUGCACAAAGGGCACGUUGAGAUUUUUCUGCUCAAAGCCUACAAGAUACGAGACCAAUAGAUUAGGACCUUGAAACAGAUUCUGAACUUCAGAGUACAUAUUAGAACGUUGACAGCGUUUGAAUGACUGAGUAAAUCAAUCAAUUCAGAAUGACAGAACUUACUCAACAAGUUCAAAGAGCAAAAAUCAUUAGUAGUCUCAGAGUUUCAAAGCAGAAGUUGGCACUAGAGGAAAAUAAGUAAAUUUGGAGCCCGCAUAAUUUGGUUUAGUUAUAUAUCAUCUUGUGAUUUGAGGAUUUUAAUCAAGUUUAGAUGAAAUGAAUUAUUGAAAGUGAUGUUAGAUUUUCCAUCAAGUAAUGAUUAGAGGAAAAAUAAAUAAAUUUGGAGGUCACAUAAUUUGCCUAAAGAGCAAAAUGUAUGGACAAUUAUAGAGACAAUUUUCAGGUUAAUUUUUCUUAAUCAGAUCUGCAACGUUGCCUAAUAGUUCAAGAAUCCCAAUACAACCAUAUAUGACAAGCAGUUAAAAUAUCCAGUGUUGAACAUUCAUGCAAAUCCCAUGGCUGCUCGAGCAAUCAUCAUCCUGAACUUCUGCAAUAUAUUAUCAUCCCUAAAACACAUUUCAUGCCAUGCUGAAUUAGAUAGUGAAUUUUACCUUUGAAUUAGAAAACAAAAAUGGAUAAGCAGUACAGAGAGAAAUUGGAAAAGAUACGAAUAAUUUAUGGAGGCAACAUAUUGUUUCUCAAUGUUAUUUGUCUGGAAGUUCUUACUUCGGAUGUAUCAAAUAAAGAACUAGUACACAAUCAUAACUAGCAUGUUCAAAACAUAAUCCAAUUACUACAAAAUAUAAGGAAUUGUCAUUAAGAAGAUUGUGAAUACGAUGGAAAAUUCAAAUAAGUAGUUCUCUAGUCCCAAUUAUCUAGGCAAAAAUGCAACCUAGUUAAUGAAGUAAGAAAAGCUAACUCUCAUAUGCUGAAUAAAUUGAACAGUUCACUGCCCAGGGUCCUAUCUUUUAUAGCAGUUUUAGCUCAAAAAGCAUAAACAAUAUCACAAGGUUUAGUCGUAUCCUUGAAUCUCUAUGAAUAGAAAUUGAAUAGAACUUUUACCAUGUGAUCUGCCCAGUUCUGAAUGCAUGAAUAGCAAAAUCGGUGCCCACAGGGUAAAACUCCCCUCGUCGAACUAAAAUCUGUCCAACAGAUGACACAUGAUAACUCUGUUGAAGUGGAGGGUAAGCUUGCAUCGAGUUCUAUAACUGGAUCCUCAAUGUUCUUUUGCAAAUCAUUCAUAUUGUGCAGUUCAUCUUCUGAAGUUAUUGAUAGCACUCUUGGUGCAUUGUCAACUAGUAAGUUUGUAUCUUUGGAAGUAGAUUGGUUCUCACAAGCUUCAACACCUUCAAAUCUGACACUUGCUAGUCCCCUUUCAUCACACAACUGUUCACGAUCAGAUGUUCCUCCAAUGUUUACCACUUCAAUAUCUGUUUCAGCAUCCCAAAGGACUGAUGGAACUGUAAGACUAUUACGAGUUCCCAAACGAUACAGCUCCGGGUCAAAAUUCGAAAUGUCAGGCUUGUUAUGAUCUUCCCUAGAGUUAUUACUUACAAGCAGGCGUCGUCUCCUUGAAGAUUUAACAGUAGAGUCUUGAUUACUACUUUCACCUUUUCUUUCAUCUCUCGCCAAGCUUGAAGGGCUACCACACUAUCGAAACAAAAUAAGAGCAAAUGUUAAUGAAGAAGGGAAAAACGUUCAAAAGUGCAUAAGAAUUUUUGUUUAGGGUAAAAUGCUUCUUUCUUUCAAGUGGCAUUAUGCCAAAAAAGACAGAGAAAUAGUAUUUCAUCAGAAUGGUGAAGGAAAUCAAUUGCCCAAGAAAAGAGACAUCGUGUAAAAGAAUAUGACAUUCUAAUAGAUGAAAAAAUAAAGCUCAAAAGAACGUAAAAAUUACACCUUUGAACAGAAUCUGAAAUUAUCUCAGGGUUCAAUUAAUAAUUUGAAAGAAGCAAACCAAGCAGCAGCUCAAAAUUUCAAAAACAGUAAUAGUGAGCUUCCAAUUUUGCCUAGCUGAGGCAAAGUAUUCCUAAGUCAAAGCCUAGCAACAAGUUAAAGGAAUUGACAAGUUCUUGGAUGAUUAUUGAUUAAUCAGAUCAGACCAUAUCAAUUCACCAACCCACACUAUGAAUGUAGAAGAAACUCACAUUAACAUAUAAAAAAAACCACUCACUAAUGUUCACUAGAACAGAUAUUUUAAGAUAUGAUUUAUUUGAACCAAUACAAAAUGUUAUAUUCUAAAUGUAGCCAUGCGGAGAAAACUCGAAGUAUGAUUGUGUUGAGUUUAUAUAUGUUUGUGGAAAAACGUUAGAAAUGCUAUACCAGACAGUGUAUACACUCAUUUCAUUAUCAGGGUUCACAAUCUUUUCCUCACACACUGCAUACCUCCUCUCAACCGUCUUGCAUUGUUUUGUUAUAUCUAAGAAAAAUCAUGUCAAACCCCUUUUCAUAUUGAAAGUUCUACAACUAAUUCUCCCAAGUCAUUUGGUUAAAAGGAUGCUAAAAUGCAUAGAAUGAAAGUAUCUGUGGCCCAUCUCAAUACUCUACUCUCGCCAUGGACUCAUGUCUCGAUAUUAUUGCCACAGUUUUUGCAAAUCGCCAACACAUGCCCUAUCAGAUUCCUACUUGUAGUCAUAUGGCUUCCGUGAAGAGAUUUUUUAUAAAAUUGAAGGGUUUUUAUCCAACAAUCUGUCUUUUCCUGCUAGUAAAAUUUAAUAUCAUGCCUAUUUGGACUCUAAGGGGGCGUUUGGGAUUUAGAGUGGGUUAUUAUAAUCUGUGGUUAUUAUAAUCUGUGGGUUAUUAUACUCCAUGUUUGGGGUGCAAAGUAUUAUAGUUUAUUUUUUGGCAUAUAUAUAUUAGGUACAUGAAAUACCAUUUUUUGAAAACAUAGCUCGAAUUGUACCUUCCACUAAUUUAUACAAACUAGUUUAUUACUAGUUGGGAUACAUGUCUUCUACAAUUUUAUAUUAUAACAUAUUUUAUAGAAAUUGCUAUGUGAUUAAAUUAAAUUAUGUUAAUUAGGUUGUUCAUUUAAUAAAUUUAGUUACAAUCUUCAUAUACGACUAUUAACAAGUUCAACAAGUAGAUAAAAUAAUUUUGCAUGGAAAAUAGCAUAAGUGUAUUUUUAAAAAUAUUAUUAUAAUUAAACUAAAAAUGUAUUUGGAAUGACUUAGAAAAAGAUUUUUCAAAAAUUCGUUUUUAUUUAAACACUUUUGAUGAAAACUUCUUAAAAUAAAAACACAAUGUGUUUUAAAACAUUUUUUAGAAGUACUUGUAUAUACAAGUUUUUAUUUGUUUGUUAGAUACACUAAAAAUGUUUUUUUAAAAUUUUUCAAGAUUGAUUGGUGGCAACAGUUGCUGGAGUUGGUUUUCGAAAGUUUCCUGGUAGAGUCACUGAGAGUGGUGGUUGAAGAUUAGCCAACGACGAUCACUGAAGACUAGCCUAAACUCUAAAAAUAUUUUUAUUAAAAAUUUUCAAUAUUGAUUGGUGGCGACGAUCGCCAGAGUUGGUUGUUGAAAGUUCGUCGAUGGAGUCACUGGAGGUGGUGGUCAGAGAUUGGCCGAUGAAGAUCACCAAAGAUUAGCCUUAAACCCUAAAAAAUUUAUAAAAGUUUCAAGGUUGAUCGGUGGUGUUGAUUUUAUGGAAUCAAUCUAUAUUUCAUUAAUUACUUAAUAGAGAUACAAGCCUAUAUAUAACCAUAGAGAAAUACACUUAAGGAAAUAAUAUCAAAUAAUAUCUCCAGAAUAAUAUCUCCAGAAUAAUAUCUCCUAAGAAUAAUCUAAUUAUAUUAAUAGGUGGCAACCGAAGGUUGGUUGAUCGGUGGCAACCAAAGAUUGGUUGGCGAUGGCCGCCAAAGUUGGUUGUCAGAAUUUUACUAGUGGAGUCACCGGAGGUGGUAGUCGGAGACUGGCCAGCAAUGAUCAUCAGAGGUGAUGUCCGAAAGUUGGUCGACCAACUUCCCAGCUCUUGAAACAAAUACCCCUAGAAUUAAAGAAUAGUAAUGGCAUGUGAAUUGUUUUAAACUCUAAUCCUAAUCCUCAACUAAAACUAAACUUUGCUCCAAACAUGCGAGAUUGGGCUAAAAAGAGUAUUGAUGACCUCUCAACCACAGGUUGUGUGAAACUAUUGAAUCAUGAUGCAAUUUCCAAAGCUCUUACAAGAGCUCAAGCAAGGGGCUUAGCUAGCUUGGAUUGGACACUUAUUUGAAGAUGCUUGUGUUCCUUAAUUCUUCUGUUUCCUAAAAAGAUAAUAUUUAUCCUAGUUGCUAGAUCCGAUCUUUUUAAGGCCCAAGUCAUGUGAAAAGUGAUUCACUCUAGAGAAAGGUUGUGCACAAGGAUAGUUAUUAAAUAUUAUUACCGCUGCUCAUCAACCUACUGACACUUUUACUACCAGAGACUUGAAAGCAUUUUUUAUGUCUUAAAGGCAAGCCCAUGCUCUUUCUUACUUGUUGCCAUUUGUUGGAGGUGAAUUUUGGUUAGCCUAAUACAUUUGCAUAGCAUUUUAAGCAGUAAAGUCAGUAGGUGGACCUCAGAAUAAAAUUAGAACAUGCCAAUUUAUUGGGAUUUUAUAACAAUAGAAAUUUAAAUUGUUGGAGGAUUAAUCAAAAGAUAUCAUGUCAUCGACCUACGAUUAGAAUUGGAGAACCAGAUCACAUUACUUAAUUUAAGAAAACUAUUUACGUACGUUAGUAAUAUAGAACAGAUGUUUAUUAAAUUUAAACCAUUCGCCAGUACAAGAUAUUACCACAGGUUAAGACCUUAAUUGAAGAGUGGGCUUUGUCCUAUGAAGUAUAGCAACAUGGACAAAAAUGACGAGAUUCAAAAUGUAAGAUGGAAAGAAGAAUGAUAUAUCUUACCUCAAUCGCAAAAAGACCAGCAGAAGUUGGUUCCUCAAAACGGUUUCUGCUACUUGAGCUUGAUGGGUCUUCUAGCUUAGAAAUCCUCUUCCGCACUUUGUGCUUUCGCUUAUGAGCAGUGUCAUCACUUUUUCUAAAAUCAGAGGACAGAUCCUAGUUGGGAAUGACAGUAAAAGGGUUAACGAUAGGCACUAACUCUAGUCAUGUAUUGAACUCCUUUUUUCUCUUACGAUAACAGUGGUAGAGUCGAAAAGCCCUAGGGCUGUUACUUUAUUAAUGAUCAAAAACAGUUGUACAAAAGGGGAAGCCUUACUCUAUGUAGGAUUUGUUUUAGUUCAACAUGUGAGGCUGGAAUUCAAACUUAUGACCAUCAAUACUUCAUA